rnacentral:lncRNA from 1 species
CUUCGUGACGACCAAGGGUUGAUGGGACUUUUCGGAUCAAUGGAUUGCAUGUGCCGUUGGAAGCUUUGACUAAUGACUCGAGAUUCGCUAAUUCGCCCUUCCAGCGUAGCAAGUCAAUACAAAUGCUCACGAAAUCGUUGUUGUUGGUGAUUGUUUGAUCAGUGGAAACUGCUCCGACGGCGCCGCCUCCUUCCUCCGUGGAAGACAUUUUCAGGCUGAGCGGUUGGAAGUAAUAAAGAAGGUGAUUUUGUAAACUGCUUUUGGCUGAGUGAGUGAUGUUGGAGAAAAGGUGGCAAAAUGGCUACGAUGAUGACAAAUAUUUUAUAGCCUACAUGAUAAACAUAUAUGGGAAAUACUUAAGGUGUAAUUCAAAUUUACCCUUAGUGUUUAUAUUUUUACUAUAAUUUUAAUUUUUUAAUUAAAUUUAUUUCUCUUUUGAAAGAGUCAAUGAUAAAAAAAGAAAAGAAAAGUUAAAUUAAUGUUUUUUAACAAAAAUAGUAACAAAUAUUAAAAUUGUGAAUAACAUUAUAGAACUUAAAUACUCAACGCAACUCAAGAAACUAAUGGUGGGUCUGGAUGGGCAGUGCGGUGCGGUGCGUUUAGCCUACUUUUUGUCUCAUGCUACAGUGUUGCUACAGUAUCUAAUCUCACCGCCACCACUGUUUUUACACUAACCACAGGUAAACGCACCGUCCAUCCAAACUCACCCUAAGACCCUAUCAAAGGGAGAAUUUUAUAUCUACAACACUUCCUAAAUUUCAUUAGCUUAAUAAUAGCUAUUCAAUUUUUUUUUUCAUUUUUUUACUUAAAUUAUUUUUACUUACUUUAUAUUAGAUAAAUUAUUCCAAAUAUUUAAUAUUUUACAUAUAAUAAUUGCAUUUGUUAUUCUACCUAACUCAUGAAAAAUCUCAAUUUUGCAACAUCACAUGCCAACCAACCAAUUUAUUAUUCACAUUCCAACUUUCUAAAUGCAUCAAAUAUUUCAUAGCAAAGAUCAUGCCAAGAACCCACAUGCAAAGUCAUUAUAUACCACAUUAAACUACAUUUAACUCAACAAGACUUUUACAUAACCAAAGAUUACUCCAAACGUUUAUACGCAUUGACUCAAAAUGAUAAAAAAUAAACUACCAAAUUGAUGAGAAAAUAGUUUAAGCUUAGAACAAUCCAACCGACGUGUUCUACAAGAUAACAACCUAAAAAAAAAAAAGAAACAAUGAGAUACGCAUAUAAUAUGUUUAGUAAACUCAUAUGAAAAGUAAAACUUACCUAGAUCAAUUGAACAUAAAAAAUUACUCAAUAAGCUAUCGAAUUAAUUUUUCCUUAGCACUUAUAUAUAUAUAGUACAUGUAACAACAUUUCAAGUCAAAAGUGUUAGAUACAAUGUUGAAUCAUAAUCCUGUCAACAUUUAAAACAUAAUCACAUAGCAAUCUAUAUACCAAAUUUCAUCAAUACCAGUUCAUUUUCAAUUCAAGACUUAAUUCCAUUUCCAACCAUUUAAUCAUCCUCUGAUGGAACUACAGUAAAAAAGACCUAGGUACAUGGGAAUAUUUUGCUGACACUGUAACGAACUUACUCACAAAAGUUGACUUUAUAUUGGAAUUGUUCACACAAGUUAACUUUGUAAUUUAUAUAAUGUAAAAUUUAAGAUUUUUAUAUUAUGUAAAUCAAAGCUUAAUAUUGCAUAACUAAUUAGUUUUGAGUUUUCAAAAUAAUAUGGCUUUAUAAAGAUAUAGAAUUCUUGAUAUAAGUCUUAACAAGGGAAAAAUUAAGGAUAGGAAAAUUGUGGUGGAAAGGGGGUCAAUUUCUCCUAAACAGGUGGAGAUCUGGAGAAGGAUAAGAGAAGGAAGAUGGUUGAUGUGAAGGCUAAGAGUAAUUGUUAAAGGUUGCUAACAGGGAGGAUCCCUUUCUCAUGAAGAUGAUUUUUAAACACCGUGUUAAUUGUUUAUGGGCCAUCAUGUUUGACGAUAAUUUUUAAAUACUGUGUUAAUUGUAUAUAGCACAUCAUGUUUGACAAUAAAUUUUAAAGACUUUUAAACGUCGCAUUAAUUGUUUAUGGCCCAUUGCCCAUGUUGCUUUUAUUAAAAUUUGGGUAAACUAUAAGUUAAUCACUUAAUUUUUAUAAAAUUUCAUUUUGGUCUCAGGAUAAAACAAAAAUUAGGAUAAAUGUAAUGUUGAAAUGAAUAUAGUGGGAAUCUUUAAUGUUUAUGGCCAAACCCCACCUCUCCUAUCCUAUACUUCAUCUAUCAUAAUGAUUCUUGGCUUCUUCUACAAUUGCCUUCACAAAAUGAAGCUGACAUUUGAGGUUGUCCUUCAUUUACUUUUGUUUUCUUCCUAUGAUAUAAAUGCAAGUAGAAUAUAAAUUAUACAUUUGUAAUUAGAUUGAAAAAUAAUUGACACUUGAUUUGAUUGUGAAAGAAGUUUUAGUUUAAUGAAAUGAAUGAGUUAAAUUUUAAAUUUAUAAUAUUUAACUUGAGUGUGAAUGAAUUUUUGACUUAAUUGAAAAUUGAAAAUUUUAUAAAUUUUGUUCAAAUUUAUUUUGAUUUAAUUCUCAUAUUGUAUAUUCUUAAUUAAAUUCGGAAUAUAUCAAUUUAGUCAUACAUUGUAACGAUGGAUUCGAAUUAUAGUUAAUUAUAUAUUGAAACUAAAAAUCUUAGAUUUUUAUCAACAUUUGCCGCCUCAUUUAUGGUGAAUGGUAUAUUUCCCAUUUGGUCCCCCUUUCUUUUUAUUAAUCUAUAAUUCUACUUCUACCCCCAUUCAAUUUAGCCCUUUUUCCUAAUUUCUCUUAAUUAAGCUAAAUUCACUUAAUUAAAGCCUAAUUAAACACACAACUAGCCUCACAAAUAUUCUUAAUAAAUACUUACGAACUCGGUUCACUAAGACGGAGGCCCUAUAACUCACUUUUCUAGUGCCCGUGAAUUUUGGAUCAUUACACCUUCUUCCGUGGACGACAUUUUUAGGCUGAGCGGUUCGAAGUAAUUAACAAGGUGAUUUUGUAAACUGUUUUUGGCUGAGUGAGUGAUGUUGGUGAAAAGGUGGCAAAAUGGCUACAAUGUUUCUAUAGCUUAUAAAAUGAACAUACGGAAAAUCUUUAAUUAAGAUUUAAAUGUAUAAAAGUAUAAAUUAUAAUAGUAAAAUUGUACUUUAAUCUUAUAAAUCGCAAUACUUUAAUUUAGUUAUUUAAAAAAUUAGAAAUAUAUUAGUUAAUAUAAUGAUAAAAUUACGUUUUAACUUUAUCAAAAUUUAUAACUUAAUUUCAAUCCAAAUUCUUACUUCACCCUUAUUUCCGCACUAAUAAAAGUUAUAAUCUGUGUUAAAUAUCGGAUUAGUAUAUGGAUGAUAUUAAAAAUAUAUAUAAAAAUAUAAAAUCUCUAAAAGCUUAAUCAACACACAUUCAGGUGUACGCUUUUAUUAAACUUUGAUUUUUUUAGUACGAGAUUAUCUGGAUUCUUUAAAAUAAUGUUAUGGAUAAGUUUUUGUUUAAUGUAUUGGUUGGUUUUUUUUUUUUUUCCUUUUAGAUUUGAUGAAUGAUAGAUUUUUGUUUGUGAAGUUUAUCUAUGAAUAUUUAUAUAAUUAUUAAUAAUUUUAUAUUUAAAAUUUAUUUAAUAUUUUAAAAUUUUAUCGAUAAUUUUGAAAGGAUAUAUAAAAACAAAUCGAUAUUGAUAUGUAUCAAUUUCUGUAGAAAAACGGUGCGUCCAUCAGUGCAAUACUAACUACCUUGGAUAAGAAAACAUUUAAUCCUUAAAUUUGGCAACUUUUCUCAACUUAGUCAUUAAACUUUUUUUUUAUCUACACUAGUCUUCUAACUUGACAACUUUUCUAAAUUUUGAUGCAUGUGAUGACAUCGCAUUCUGAUUUUGUAUCAUAGGGGUGUUCGAAUUUCGAUUAAAAUUGAAUUAACUGACCGAACCAAUCUAAUUCAGUUAAUCAGUCAGUUAAUCAAUCUAGUUCUAUCAGAGGUCGGUUAAAAGUUUUUUGGAAUUUCGGUUAAUGGUUAAUUUGAUUCGAAAUUAGGUAAUUAACUGAAUUACCCAAACUUAAUAAAUUAGACUUGUAGGCUAGGAAGCACAGACACGGCUCAUCCCUCCUCGUACCGGUAUCGUACGUGUGUCCGACACAGACACUCGACGGACAUGCCUAGAUACGUAUGGAACAAGCUGGAAUAUGCCAAAAAAAAUAUUUUUUUUAUUGCCAUAUCUUGCUGUAUCCGUGUCCUUAUUUUCUAAAAAUUACCAUGUUGCUGUGUCUGUAUCAUGUCGUACCCGUAUUGCGUGUCUGUAUCCAUGCUCCAUAGCUUGUAGGUAAGGGCCGAACAAAGAAUCCAGUAAGGCACUAGUCUAGAAUAAGGAGUUAGACCAAUUGAAUCGAGUUAAUGAAUUGAUUUUCUUUAUAUUUUUAAUAUAUCUUUAAUAUUUUUAAAAUUUUAUAUGAUUUAACCGAGUGGUUAAUCAAUAAAAAUUGAGAGUCUAAUAGAUUUAAAAAAAAAAAAAACCUUUUUAACAUAUAUAAACUCCAAAAAAAUAUUCUUUUUUAAAUUCCUUAAAUUACCUGUCCUGCUGAUGUGAUUCUGGCUUUUUAACAGUAUUGUUGGUGAACCCUACGGUUGCCUCCAUGAACUUUUUGUCAUCGUUCGAUCUUGUAAGCAAUUCAAGAACACGAAAAGGUAAUUGGUUUUCCAACAAGAACAGAUCCGAGUACUCAAAUGUCAGCAGUUCGUUUUUAAUAGACAAUUCGUUCGACAUAUGCUCAUAAUCUUGGCCAUCAACAUCAUCAUUACCGUAACGAUAUAAACUGCUUGUAAAAUUGUGCAGCCGUCAACGAGGAACAUCCAAGCCAGAUUCUCGUUAUCGUUGGUAUACUUAUCUAAUUCCUUUGGAUCAUAGCAUUUCUUCAAGUCAUCGAUCUCUGUCUUAAUGUUGUUGUACAAGGUUCCCCUAUCGACGCCAAUGUUUUUGACGAAAAGUGUUGUUAAUUUGCACUUGAGCUUCUUGGAUUCAUGGAGGGUGGGAUCAGCGUGGUGAGUGGACCGAUUGAGAUCACUUUCGGCUUGAAAUACUUCCUGAAAUCUUCGUGACGGCCAAGGGUUGAUGGGAGUCUUCGUAUCAAUGGUUUGGCUUUGGGGUCGAGUUGUUUGCCGUCGAAAGCUUCGUCUAAUGACCGGAGAUUCUCUAAUUCGCCAUUGCUGAGAGUGAGCUCCGUACCCGGCAUUGGAAUGAUCGUCUCUUGGGGAUUGUUGGUGGUGGUGUUUUUGGUGAUUGUUUGAUCAGUGGAAACUGCUCCGCCGGGAGCUCCGACGGCGCGGCCUCCUUUCUCCGUGGACGACAUUUUCAGGCUGAGCGGUUCGAAAAAAGGUGAUUUGGGAAACUGUUUUUGGCUGAAUGAGUGAUGUUGGAAAAAAGGUGGCAAAAUGGCUACGAUGACGACAAGUGUUUCUAUAGCUUAUAUAAUAAACGUAUGGAAAAUAUUUUGGUGUAAUAUUAAAUUUAACCCUUAAUAUUUAUAUUUUUUUAAUUUGAUUCUUAUUCUUUUUAAUUAAAUUUAAUUCUCUAUCUUUUGAAAGAGCCAAAUUUGAUUACCAAUCUUUUAGAAAAGAGUUGAAUUAAUAUUUUUUAAUGAAAACAGUGAUUAAAAUAUUAAAUUUGUAAACAUGACAACUCAUAUGGUAAUCCAUGUGUACAUAUUUUUUAUUUUUUAUUUUUAAAUAAUUUGUUGACGUGUGACAUAUAAGAAAAGCAGUGUUAUGUUAGCACGAAGUGCACAUGGAUUGCCACACGAGUUGUAACACCAACACCGUUAAAAAUUUAAUAUUUUAGUUAAUAUUUUUGUUAAAGAAAAACAAUUUAACUCUUUUUUGAAAGGUUAAUGACUAAAUUUAGCUCAAAUAAUAAUAAUAAAAGAACAGAGGCCAAUUUGGCAGAAAAAUGUAAAUAUCGAGGACUAAAGGCCAAUUUGAUAGAAAAAUGUAAAUAUCGAGGACUAAAUUUAUCAUUAUGUCAUUCUUUUUAAGGUUAACUUAUAUGAAUACAAUAUAAGUUCAAGUACAAAUAUAUGUAUGGAUUAAUCUAAAAAGAACUAGACAAAAUCCACACAUGAUAUACGCAUAUGAUGAGAGUAAAACUCACACAUCACAAUUAAGAAUAAUAUUAUAAAACCUAAAUACUCAGAGACUUAAAACCUUCGCAUUAACCAAAAAGUGAAGACCCCAUCAUAUGGAGAAUUUUAUAUCUACAUACGACAAUAUUUCUCGGAUUUCAUACGCUUAAUACUAGCUCUUCAAAUAUAUUCAUUUUUCAUUUUAUUACUUAAAAGUUAUUUUGAUUUACUUUAUAUUGAUUUCAAUCAUAUUGAUCCGUAGAUAUUGUUUCAAUAAGAAAUCGAAUUUUUUUUUUUAAAAUGAGAUGAUUUUGUUGUGGGUUUUUUAAAAUAGUGUUACGGAUAACUUUUUUGUUUAAUGUUUUGGUUGGCUUUUUUUUUUUUCUUUUUUUCGAAUUUUUGAAUGAUGAAUUUUGCAUGUAAAGAUUAUUGAUGAAUAUUUAUAUUUAUUUAAUUUCAUUCAUUUAAUGUUUUUAAAUCUUUUUUAUAUAUUAAAUAUUUUAGAAAUUUAUCGAUAAUUUCGAAAAGAUAUACAAAAACAGGCCAGUACUAAUAUGUAUCCGUUUUUGUAAAAAAAAUGUGCGUCCAUUAGUGUAGUACUAACUACCUUAGAUAAAAAACUGUUUAGUCCUUAAAUUUGGUAACUUUCCUCAACUUAGCACUUAAGCUUUUAUUUUAUCUACAUUAGUCUUCUAACUUUGACAGCUUUUCUCAAUUUCGAUGCAUGUGAUGACACAACACUAUGAUAUUGAGAUGCUAUCAUCUAAAAAUUAUAUUUUUAAUAAAAAUUAGGUGUUAACAUGGGAGAAACAUUAUUAUAAUAACCAAAAAUGAGAAAAGUUGUCAAUUUUCAUGAUUGAUGUGGACAGUGGUGAAGAUAAGGGGCUGGUAGGGGCAGAAAAUUUUUUUUCAUUUACGUCCUUUUAUAAUUUAUAAAAUUUUAAAUUAGUAGUGGUAAAAUUAUAUUUUGUCACCCAAAAAUGAAAAAAAUUAAUUUAAUCCUUUAAAAUGAUAAAGUUAUAGACUAUUAAAAUGGUAAAAUUACAUUUUUAUUAUCAUAAAAAUAUACAACUUAAUUCCGGCCCCUCCCAAAAAAAAUUUUGGCUUCGCCCCUGAAUGUGGACCAAAAAAGAAAGUCUAGAGACCAAAUUGAAAAAUUUUGUCAAAUUUAAGGAUUAAAUGUUGUCUUAUUAUUUUAUUUAACAAAAAGUGUGCUAUAUACACCAAAGUCUCGUAAUUGAAUAAUAAAAUUUCGAUGUUUUUAAGUAAAUCUUGAAUUUAAAUCUUAUGAAUAAAGAAAAUAAUACUAAAUAAAUUUUACUAUCUACUUACGAAUUCAACUCAAUUUCAAAUUUAACUACCAAAUAUCAAAGCUCUUAUAAAAAAAAAGGUAUUGUAAACUUUGUUGUAGUGUAUUUUAUUUUGAUCCAAAAUAGUGAAAAGGAAAUGCAUCCUAAAUUUAUUCAAACCAAAUUAUUAACUUUAAGUGUAAAUUGGGUAAGUGUAACAUAAUUGUUCUCUUUUUUUUUUUUAAUUUAGUCCUUUUCCUAAAUACAACAUAUAUUUUAUAAUAGAUAAUUGAAUUAAUUAAACCAUCAGUUCAUCGUUCAGUUCAACCUAAUGACGGAACGUAAGAGGAGAUUCCCUUCAAAAUUUUAGAAAAUUAUCACUAAAUUUUCUGAUUCAUGUUAGAAUUGACACAUUUAAUUAAAAAUAUUUAAACAUUAAAAUAAUCAAAAAGUCCCUAAGUUCAACUUACGGACGAAAAUUUUCAAAACUUGCCUUUAAUUUUCUCAAAAUUUUUGAUUAAAUCUCUUAAAUUUUAUUUUCAAAAAAAGAAUUUCAUUAAACACAAAAAAUUAAAUAGAUUGAAUCCAACAUCUAGGAGUUACAAAAUUCUCAUAAAUAACCAGAGUUUACAAUGAGAAUAGUAAACAACAAUUACUUUGGUUGAUGUAUGGUAUAAUAAGUCUGCAAAGCAGCAAUAAAAAGCCAGCAAUGGCACCCACAAAAGCGAAAAACGUCCAACGAGUCCUAAAAUAAGCAUGAUAAGCUUGAGCUAGAUAUUGAAUCCACAUAUUCUUACAAUGAUUAUGUAUUUUCUGUUUAACAUAACUGUAACUAGGAACCAAAUCAGUGUUCAUAUUCUUGAUAAGCUUAGCCACUUCUUCAUCACUCCUCAAUCUAUUGUAUAGUAUACCGGCGUCUCUCAGUUCCUUAACAUCUUCGACUUCAUCGAUCAAUGAAUCAAGGACACCCAAAUAUGAAGUGACGGUGAAAUCGUUUUUGAAAUCCAGACACAUUUCGUAAGCUAUUAAGUUCAUGGUUGAAUCAUCGACGGUGAUCGGCGGAAACCAUAAUUUCCCGACAAAGAACACAUGGUUGAAAUUUAUGUCGUUAAACAACUUGCUUCGCUUGCUUUUAACCAUAUCCCGGCCUUUUUAAGCUCUUUUACGUUACGAAAGGUGUGUGAAUGGUGCAGUUUUGUUCUUGUUUGGCUGCUGCGAUUUAACGUGCACAUGAAACGAGUGCAAAACCUAUAAUGCCGCCAUGGUUUUUCUUUUUUUCCUUUUUUGAAAAGAAGUCUUUCUCGUAGUAGAUUCAAUAGGUGAAUUCGCUGCUCUUCUUUUUGCUGCAGCCACCAUUCACUAGAGUAAAAACUGUGUUAGUCGGAAGCCAAGCUACAAUUUCUUUUCUUUAUUUUAUUUUAUUUGGAAUUGUAAAUUUUUAUCAAAACUAAAAUUAAGGUUUUUAAAAUGGAUAGUAAAACCAGUCAAAACAUCUAUUUAUAAGUUUAAUUUAUCCGAUCAAUUCAUCCAAUUUGAUUAAAUAAAUUAUUUCAAAUUUCAAUUCGAUUGUCCGGCUUAAUUAAUUUAUUUUCCCGAUUCAACCUGUUCAUAUAGGUUCCCAAAUCAAUUAGUCUAAUAACUUUCUUUGGACUGAUACCUCAAUUAAAUUCCAAUCCAAUCCGAUUCAAACAACUUUAGCUAAAAUACAAUUUUUAUUAUUGUAUUAAUGCAAAAAUUUUACCAUUUUUAAAGAUAUAAUUUUUCCUUUUUGAAAAGGUGGAUUUGAACUCAUAAUUUGUUGGCUUAAGCGUCUAAAAUCCCUCGUUUGAAAAAGCAAUUAAACCUUCUUCUUCUUUUUUCAUUCAUUUGGGUGCUUGAACUUUUAAAAUAAAUCAAAAAGGUCCUUAAACCUUUUUUUAAAUAAAAAAAGCAAUUAAGCCUCUACUUUUUUUUGCACACAAUUGGGUACUUUGACUUUCAAAAUGCAUCAAAAAGACCCUCAAAUUUUUUCAAAAAAAAAAGUUAAGCCCCUGCUUUUUAUUAAAAAUUAGAAAAAAUUUAUAAAAAGUUAAAAUUAAUAAAAGCUAUAAAUCUUGUCGAAACCGAUUUUUUGAAAAAAACAAAAUUUUUAGGUUGUCGACUUAAAAAAAAGAAAAUUGGGAGUCGCCACCAAUCUUUUAUUGAGGUGUGAUUGGAUCACCUAAAACGACUUUGGUUUACGAAUUUUAGAAAAACGGGUUCGGAAGUCGGUUACGUAUGAGGAAGGAUUAGCACCCUCAUUACGCCCAAAAAUUGGUACCUAGUUAAUUAAUUAAUGUCUUAAGGUCAAAAAUUUUAAAAAUAUAAUCUUUAAAAACUUAAAACGUUGCAUAUUAAGACCCUUUUCAAUUCAGAGAAGCAAAAAUNNNNNNNNNNNNNNNNNNNNNNNNNNNNNNNNNNNNNNNNNNNNNNNNNNNNNNNNNNNNNNNNNNNNNNNNNNNNNNNNNNNNNNNNNNNNNNNNNNNNNNNNNNNNNNNNNNNNNNNNNNNNNNNNNNNNNNNNNNNNNNNNNNNNNNNNNNNNNNNNNNNNNNNNNNNNNNNNNNNNNNNNNNNNNNNNNNNNNNNNNNNNNNNNNNNNNNNNNNNNNNNNNNNNNNNNNNNNNNNNNNNNNNNNNNNNNNNNNNNNNNNNNNNNNNNNNNNNNNNNNNNNNNNNNNNNNNNNNNNNNNNNNNNNNNNNNNNNNNNNNNNNNNNNNNNNNNNNNNNNNNNNNNNNNNNNNNNNNNNNNNNNNNNNNNNNNNNNNNNNNNNNNNNNNNNNNNNNNNNNNNNNNNNNNNNNNNNNNNNNNNNNNNNNNNNNNNNNNNNNNNNNNNNNNNNNNNNNNNNNNNNNNNNNNNNNNNNNNNNNNNNNNNNNNNNNNNNNNNNNNNNNNNNNNNNNNNNNNNNNNNNNNNNNNNNNNNNNNNNNNNNNNNNNNNNNNNNNNNNNNNNNNNNNNNNNNNNNNNNNNNNNNNNNNNNNNNNNNNNNNNNNNNNNNNNNNNNNNNNNNNNNNNNNNNNNNNNNNNNNNNNNNNNNNNNNNNNNNNNNNNNNNNNNNNNNNNNNNNNNNNNNNNNNNNNNNNNNNNNNNNNNNNNNNNNNNNNNNNNNNNNNNNNNNNNNNNNNNNNNNNNNNNNNNNNNNNNNNNNNNNNNNNNNNNNNNNNNNNNNNNNNNNNNNNNNNNNNNNNNNNNNNNNNNNNNNNNNNNNNNNNNNNNNNNNNNNNNNNNNNNNNNNNNNNNNNNNNNNNNNNNNNNNNNNNNNNNNNNNNNNNNNNNNNNNNNNNNNNNNNNNNNNNNNNNNNNNNNNNNNNNNNNNNNNNNNNNNNNNNNNNNNNNNNNNNNNNNNNNNNNNNNNNNNNNNNNNNNNNNNNNNNNNNNNNNNNNNNNNNNNNNNNNNNNNNNNNNNNNNNNNNNNNNNNNNNNNNNNNNNNNNNNNNNNNNNNNNNNNNNNNNNNNNNNNNNNNNNNNNNNNNNNNNNNNNNNNNNNNNNNNNNNNNNNNNNNNNNNNNNNNNNNNNNNNNNNNNNNNNNNNNNNNNNNNNNNNNNNNNNNNNNNNNNNNNNNNNNNNNNNNNNNNNNNNNNNNNNNNNNNNNNNNNNNNNNNNNNNNNNNNNNNNNNNNNNNNNNNNNNNNNNNNNNNNNNNNNNNNNNNNNNNNNNNNNNNNNNNNNNNNNNNNNNNNNNNNNNNNNNNNNNNNNNNNNNNNNNNNNNNNNNNNNNNNNNNNNNNNNNNNNNNNNNNNNNNNNNNNNNNNNNNNNNNNNNNNNNNNNNNNNNNNNNNNNNNNNNNNNNNNNNNNNNNNNNNNNNNNNNNNNNNNNNNNNNNNNNNNNNNNNNNNNNNNNNNNNNNNNNNNNNNNNNNNNNNNNNNNNNNNNNNNNNNNNNNNNNNNNNNNNNNNNNNNNNNNNNNNNNNNNNNNNNNNNNNNNNNNNNNNNNNNNNNNNNNNNNNNNNNNNNNNNNNNNNNNNNUACUAUAUAUAUAUAUAUAUAUAUAUAUAUAUAUUAUAUAUUUACGUUUCGUUUCGUCUCAAACUUAAAACCUUUUAAAAACGUUUUUAAGUUUUUUAAAUUUUGGUGCGGAACAAAAAAGUGAAUUGAAUUUAAAGUUGGAUCGAGUGAAUAAAUGGAUAGAGCUCCACGGCCCCAAUUAUAGGGAAACAAAAAGUAACGAGCUUCUGUUCUCAAUUUGAAUAAUUACCUAAUCUAAUUAAACUUUAAAAAGAAAUUAGUGCCUAAUGUGGUAAAGGUUUUUCUCAUGAGUAAAUUCUCGGUUUUUUUUGAGUCCUAAUUAUUAUUAUUAGGCAUUCCCUUUAUGGGUUAGCCAUGAAUGUGUAGAAGAAGCAGUAUAUUGAUAAAGAAAAUAACUUUUUUUCUAAAAUCAAAAGAGCGAUUGGGUUGAAAAAAUAAAGGAUUUCUAACCGUCAUAUAUGUUGAUUCAAAUAUAAUUCAUACCAAAAUAAAAUUGAUUAUUAAGUUAAAAUAAAAUUUAGGAUGUGAAAGAAGUUCAAAAAAAAAAUUAAUGCAAAAGAAAGAUAAGGGUAUUUUUUUUAGGUCAUGGAUGUAACAACGAAGCUCGGUUAUUGUUGGUGUUGUAUGGAAGAAUCGAAGAUGUUGUGAAUGAGUUUUUAGGGUUUUAAAGUUUAACAUUGAAAGAUUGUUGUUUGUGGGUAUGUGACUGUUUUCGAUGUAAGGAAUGGUAUAAAAAAAUUACGAUUUAGGGUUUUAUUAUAUAAAUAAAGAAAGCGCCUUUUAAGAUUGUUAGAGGCACCUAUCUUUGUUUUUAGUGUAUGUAUCAUGGUCCUGAUGAUGCGGUACAAGUUUAGUUCUUUUGAGUGUGUCUUGUGAUGUGAAGUCUGUUUUGUUGGGGCUCUUGGCUCCUAUGUUUCAAUGAUAAUAAAAUAUACGUCAAACAAAAUUCUCACAAAAAACAGAGUUUACAAAACGACUAGUAAACAACACUUACUUUGGUUGAUGUAUGGCAUAAUAAGUCUGCAAAGCACCAAGCAAAAGUGCAGUAAUGGCACCCACAAAUGCCAAAAACGUCCAAGGACUCCUAAAAUAAGUAUGAUAAGCUAGAGCUGCAUGCUUAAUCCGCAUAUUCUUACAAUGAUUAUGUAUUUUCCGUUUAACCCCACCGUAAAUCAUCGGACUAGGAACCAAAUCAGUGUUCAUCUUAUUGAAAAGGUUAGCCACUUCUUCAUCACUCCCCAAUCCGUUGUAUAGUAUGCCGGUGCCACUCAGGUCUUUAACAUCUUCGGCUUCAUCGAUCAAUAAAUCAAGGAAACACAUAUAUGAAGUGACAGUGAAAUCGUUUUUGAAAUCCGGACACAUUUCGUAAGCUAUCAAGUUCAUGGUUGAAUCAUUGACGGCGAUUGGCGGUAAACAUAAUUUUCCAACGAAGAUACGGUUGAAACAGAUUCGUAGUAGAUUCAGUAGGUGAAUUGGACUUGCAGCUUCCACCAUUACCAUUUUCUAGAGCUAAAUCUGUGUCAAGUCAUCGAUUUAUAAGUUUAAUUGAUCCGAUAUAUUCAUAUUUGUUGAUUAAAUAAAUCAUUAAAAAUUUUGAUUUUAUUAUUUAGUUCAAUAAGUUUUUUUUUUUUUUUUACAAUUCAACCUGAUUCUUAGGUCAAUCGAUCUAAUGACUUUCUUUAAACUCAUACCUCAAUUAAUUUUCAAUCCAAUAUAAUCCAAACAACAUUUGGUAAAAUAUAAUUUUAUUUUACCAUUUUGAAAAGUUGGAUUUGAAAAUGCACACUCAACAGGAUCAAUACAAAGGGACAGGCGAGGUCGUUCUCAAAAAUAGAAAAUUAUAUUUUCAUCCUUUUUAAAUUAUUAAAUUAUAAAUUUAUAUAAUAAAAUUACACUUUAACCUUUUAAAAUGAAAAAAAAAAUUGUUCAACCUUUUUAAAACUGAUGAAAUUAUAAAUUAAUAAAUGAAAAAAAAAGAGAAUGAGACGAAACUUGUUGAUCAAGCUAGUUGGAUAGAGAAUUAAGUAAAGGUGCUCAUGGGUAAGGUUGAACCCAAUAAAAGAUUUAUGCCUCAGCUUGGCCCACUCGUUUUAAUUUUUUUAAAAUUUUUUAAAUAUUUUUAUAUAAUUUUUAAAUAUAUAUGAUACAUUAAAAAUACUAAAAAACAUUAAAAUAAAUAUUUCCCAACAAACUAAAUUUUUUUUAAAAAUAUGUAUACUUAAAUAACAUUAAAGUAGACACUGUGAAAUGGUAGUAAAAUAGGAAGAAAAUGACAAGAAACUAGCAUUAAAACAAUAAAAAAAUAACAUAUUUUUUUGUCCUUUUGUGAUUCGGGCUAGGGUUGGGCCAAAAAUGUCUUACCCGAGACUUGGCCUAUUUUCAAAACUAGAUUUUUUUUUGCCUAAGUCAAUUUUUUAGGUCUAUAUUUUUACUUAAACCCUUAUAUUUCUCGGACGAGCCAAAUGACCCAAUCUAUGAGUAAGUCUAGAAUCAAGCAAGAUACUGGUCCAGAAGAAAAGGAUAGACAAAUUGAAUCGAAUAGUAAAAUCGAUUUUUUUAUAUUUUUAAUAUAACUUUAAUAUUUUUUAAGAUUCUAUAUAAUUUAAACGAAUGAACUAUUCAACCGAAAAUGAGGAUCUAAUCGAUUCCAUCACCUAGUUAUAAAAAUCUUUAACACUUAUAAACUCCACAAAAUAUUCUUUUUAAAAUUCCUUAAAUUACCUGUCCCGCUGAUGUGAUUGUGGCUCUUUUAUCUCGGCUGGGUUGACAACAGUGUCGUCGAUGAACCUUUUGAUUGAAUCCAUGAACUUUUUGCCAUCCCCCGAGCUUGUAAGCAAUUCAGGAACACGAAAAGGUGAUUGGUUUUCCAACAAGAACAGAUCCGAGUACACAAAUGUCAGCAAAUCGUUUUUAAUGAAAUUCGUUCGACUUACGAUCAUAAUCUUGGCCGUAACGCAUAUAAACUGCUUGUAAAAUUGCGCAGCCGUCAAUUCCUUUGGAUCAUAGCUUUUCUUCAAGCCAUCCGGCUCUGUCUUCAUGUUGGUAUCAUUAUCGAUGCCAAUUUUUUUAACGAAAUUUGCUGCUAAAUUGAGCUUGAGCUUCUCGGACUCGUGGAGGGUGGGAUCAUCGUGGUGGAGUGGGCCAAUUGAGAUCACUUUCGGCUUGAAAUAUUUCCGGAAAUCUUCGUCACGGCGAAGGGUUGCUGGGACUCUUUUGUCAAUAGUUUGGCUUUGGGGUCGAGAUGGUCCCCUUCGAAAGCUUCGUCUAAUGACCAGCAAUUCCGUGAUUCGCCAUUGCUGUGAGUGAAGUCCGUACCCGGUAUUGGAAUGAUCGUCUCUAGGGGAUUGUUGUUCGUGUUGUUAUUGAUGACUGUUUGAUCAGUGGAAACUACUCCACCGGGAGCUCUGACGGCGCCGCCUCCUUCUGUAACACCCCUAUACCAUGUUUGACUUAAGGAACCUAAUAUAAGAAUAUUACAUUUGAUGCCAAAGUAAUUCUUGGCUAAUUACUAUUAUAUUUGAACAUAAAAACAGACAAAUAAUAAAUUUAAAUAAUUUAUAUUUAAAUCUAUUACUACUACUUGGGACAUAAUUUUUUUUAAGUACAUGCCAUUCUAUUCAAAAUUUUAAAACAUACCCGUUGUUGCUUGAAGAUGUGAUGAGAUGAAAGCUUACAAUCUCAAAUUCGACUCUCAAAAAUUUAUGUACCUAAUUUGCGCAAGGAAACAAAUCGUACAAUGAGUAUACACCCAGUGUUAUUACUAUAAUUCAAAUACUUAAGGUAAAAACAAUAUAUAUACACAUUAAAUCUUACCACUAUUUUACCUUCAAUAAAUCAUUCAUGCAUUUAAACUUUAAAUUUAUUCUAAUAAUAUGUAUCUUAAAUAGCUUUUCUUUAUUUUAAUUUAUAUAUCUACUUAUUAUAUCAAUAUUCAUUUCAUGCAUUUCAUCAAUAACCAUUUCAUAAAACUAUUAUUUCAUAUAUUUCAUUUCUAUAUCCUAAUUCAAUAAUUUAUUCUAUUCCAUAUCUAAAACCUUACAACAUUAGUCUUUCAAUAAUUAUUUAAACCAACAUUUUUCAAUAAAAAUAAUUAUAAUUAAUUCAUAAGAUUAUAUCCAACUAACUCAUACACUAUUUCAUUAUUUCCUAUUCAUUCUAUUUUCACUUCUUAUUUCGAUAUCUCAAUUUCAAUUCACAUUUCAAUUCAUAAUUUCACUUUCUCAUACUUUCAAUAGCUCAAUCCAUCAAUUCAUUUGAUUUUUUCAUUUCAUUUAUUCAACUGAUUUCAAAAUCAAUAAUUCGAUAUUUUAGCAAAUUCAUGAACCUUAUGUUCAUGCUUCAAAUCUCGCAUCUUAAUGCCGUUCACAAUUCAACUCAUAAUUUCUUUCUCAUAUCUCUAAAAGUACGAUCAAUCAAAUUUAUUUAAUUUUCUCAUUUCAGUUAUUCACCUUAUUAACAAACCCGGACUUUGACGGAUACACGAAUUCCAACCCAAACACACCAGUACGGCAUAUUGUGCCUAAAACGGUACAUAGUACCUGAUCAGUAUACGACACAUAAGUGCCUGAAAUGACACACGAGGUGCCUAAUAUGACACACGAGGUGCCUGAAAUACGCAAAGCCGAUAUAUCCCGGACUCUUAUAAAUCCUAUGGCAUGCCAAUUAUAUCCGACUUAGCCCGACUAGAUAAUAGGGUAUUUCAAUUCUCAAUUCACUUUCAUUUCCAAUUCAAUAUCACUUUUCAAUUACAAUUUCUCAUUCAAAUCAAUAUACAAUUCAAUUGUACAUACACAUUCAUCAUUCAAUUCAAUUCUCAUUCAUUUCAAAAUCAAUUUUUCACUUUCUAAUCAAUAAACAAUUCAAUACCAAUACAUAUUUCAGAUAAUCACAUAUAAUCAUAUUUCGAUUCAAUUCAAACCACUUUUCAAUCAAUACACAAUUCACAUAUUCACACAUAUUCAUAAAUUAAUUCACUUUUAUUUAAUUCAUAUUUUUAAUUCGUUUUCCAAUCAAAUUCAAAUCACUAAUUACUUUUCAAUCAAUAUACAUUUCAAAUACUCACAUAUUUUCUUCAUUCAAUUCAAUUUGAUUCAAUUAAAAUCACUUUUAGUUUCCAAUCAAUAUAAUUUCAAAUAUUCACAUAAUUCGUAAUUCAAUUACUUAAAUCACUUUUAAUUUCCAAUUUGUUCACAUUCAAUUUCAAUAGCCAUAAACAUUUUUGAAUCAAUUUCAUUCAAAUCAAUAUCAUCAUUUCAAUUGCUUACCUAAUUUUAUUUGCCAUGCAUUUUAAUUCAAAUAUAACAAUUAAUAAUAAAUAGAUUUGAAUUAUAGUAGUACAAACCCGGAUUUGUUCGAUUACUCCUCGAUAACUUUUCCUUUCUUUUCGGUGCCGAUGCCUCGAUUUCUUUGGUAACUACAAAAAUAAUAAUAAUAAUUUACACUUAUUAAUAACAGCACUAAUUUAUAAUAAUGAUUGAAUUUCUAUUCAAUUUAUAUCCUAAUUCCAAUUUAAUCCUAAUUAACUCAUUUACUUUUAUAAUUCAAUUCAUACUUCAUUUCGAUUCAAUUUCCUUCCAUAUUUCACUUAACUAUCUAAUGUUCAUAAUAAAAUUAUAAUUUAAAAUUUCUUUCAAUUUAGUCCUUUAAACACAAAACUUAUAGCUUCUUUUACAAUUCAAUCCCUUACCAAAUAUAACUUGAAAUUCAUUCAAUUAAAUCCCUAAUUCAUCUUUUUGUUCAACAUGAACUAUACUUAUAAACCUAUGAACUUUCAAAGUAUCAACUUAAUUUCAUCAAAACCUUGUUCUAAAGCUUCUAAAACAUCAAAAUUAAGUAAAAAGGACUUAAUUGACUUACCUAUUAAAGUUUUAACCUUCAAACCCUAGUUUUUCCCCAUUUUCUUUUCUUUCCCUUUUCUUUCUUCUUGUUUUCGAAUGGCUUCUGCUAUUCUUUCUUUUGCUUUCUUUCUUUAUUUCAUUUCAUUUAUAUAUAUAUAUAUAUAAUAUUAGUUAAUAAUGAUAAUAAUGAUAAUAAUAAUUAUAAUAAAUAUCUUUUAAUAACACAUAUUUACAUUACAUUUGUCACCACUUAAUUUGUUUAUCGUAUACAAAAAUCUUAUAAUAUAAUUAUUUAAUUAAUAACUAUCUUUUACUUAAUUUUCAAGUAAAUAAAUAAAUAUAAUACAAAUGUAUAUAUUUACAUUAUUUCAAUUGUCACUAUCCAAUUUUUUUAUUAGUUAUCUAAUAAAUAUCUUUUACUUAGUAAUAAUAAAUAAUAAAUAUCUAUUUACUAAUUAAAUAUAAGUAUUACAAAUGUACAUAUAUUUUUUUUUACAAGUGUACAAUAUCAUCACCACCCAUUUGGCAAAAUUUUGAUUUAUUCAUAUAAUAUAAUAUAAUAUUUUUAAUUUAUAACUAAUAUAAAUUGCCAUAUAAUAAAAUAAUUAUAUACAUAAUAAUUUAAUAAUAAUUAAACAAUAAAAAUUUUAGAUUUUUAUCAACAUUUGCCGCCUCAUUUAUGGUGAAUGGUAUAUUUUCCAUUUUGGUCCCCCUUUCUUUUUAUUAAUCUAAUCUAGCCCUUAAUAUUUAUAAUUUUACCAAUUUGAUUUUUAUUCUUUUUAGUUAAAUUUAAUUCUCUACCUAGUGUCAAAUUUGACUAUUGAUCUUUUAGAAAAUUGUCGAAUUAAUGUUUUGUUCUUUGCUUUCAAUUUGGUUCUGUUCUUAAGCAAAUUUCUGCUUUGUUUCUUCUCCAAGUCACGAGUCUUGUUGUUCAAGUCAUAGCUGAACUAGCUUGCUUGUUGUUCAUAACACCAACAGCCUGUUCUCGGCUGGGUUGAUAACAGUAUCAUCGAUGAACCUCCGGAUUGCAUUCAUGAACAUUUUGCCAUCACCCAAGCUUGUAAGCAAUUCAAGAACACGAAAAGGUAAUUGAUUUUCCAACAAGAACAGAUCCGAGUACAAAAAUGUCAGUAAAUCAUUUUUAAUUAACAAAUUACCAUCAUCAUCAUCAUUAUCGUAACGCAUGUCAACUGCUUGUAAAUUUGCGCAGCCGUCAACGAUGAACAUCCAAGCCAGUUCCUCGUUAUCGUCUCUAUACUUCUCUAAUUCCUGUGGAUCAUAGCAUUCCUUCAAGCUAUCCAUCUCUUUCUUAAUUUUUCUGUACAAGGAUUUCUUAUCGACGCCAAUUUUUUUGACGAAAUGUGCUGCUAAUUUGAGGUUGAGCCCCUUGGAUUCACGGAGGGUGAGAUCAUCGUGGUGGAGUGGGCCGAUUGAGAUCACUUUCAGCUUGAAAUACUUCUUGAAAUCUUCGUUACGGAGAAGGGUUGAUGGGACUUUUUGUAUUAAUGGUUUGUAUCUAAGGGUGGGUUGGCCACCAAAAGCUUUGUCUAAUGACUGGAGCUUCGCUACUUCGCCAUCGCUGAGAGGGACGUCGGUGAACCACAUAUCAAUUCCCACGUAAUCGUUGUUGGUGUUGUUGUCGAUGAUUGUUUGAUUAGUGGAAACUGCUCCGGCGGCGCUGCCUCCUUCCUCCAUGGACGACAUUUUCAGGCUGACCGGCUCGAAGUAAUUAACAAGGUGAUUUUGAAAACUUGUUUUGGCUGAUUGAGUGAUGUUGGAAAAAAGGUGGCAAAAUGGCUACGAUGAUAACAAAUCUUCUAUAGCUUACAUAAAGAGGCGAAUAUAGGGGAAUGUAAAAUUGUUAUUUAGGCCCUUAAUAUUUUUUAAAAUUUUAAAUUAGUAAAAGUGAAAUUACAUUUUGGCCUUAUAAAAUUAUAAAAAUUCAAUUUAAUCUUUUAAAAAUUAUAAAGAUAUAGACUACAAAAAAUUAAAAUCUCAUUCGAUCCACCCUAAAAAAUUAUUCGGGCUUCGCCACUGCUUACAUAAUAAACAUAUGGAAAAUACUUUUGGUGUAAUUCAAAUUUACCCCUUAUAGUCAAUUUAAUUUUCAUUUUUUUAAUUUAAUUUUCUAUCUUUUGGAAGAGUUGAAUUUAACUAUCAAUUUAAAUUAAUAUUUUUUGACGAAAAUAGUGACUAAAAUAUUAAAAUAUUAAACAUGACAACUCAAACGGCAAUCCACAUCUAUAUGUUUUUUUAAUUUAUUUCUUAUUUUUAAAUUAUUUAUUGAUGUGACAUAUAAUAAAAGUAUUGUUAUAUUAGCAUGAAGUACACAUGGAAGGCCACACGAGUUGUGACACCAAUAUCGUUAAAAAUUAAUAUUUUAGUUAGCAUAUCUGUUAAAGAAAAGCAAAUGAACUCUUUUUUCAAAGGUUAAUGGCUAAAUUUAGCUCAAAUGAAAAAAAAAAAAAGGCCAAUUUGAUAAAAAAGGUAAAUGUCAAGAGUUAAGUUUAACAUUUAUACAAGUACAAAUAUAUGUCUGGAUUAAUCUAGAAAGAACAAGACAAAGUCUACAGGUGAUAUACAAAUGUGAUGAGAGUGGAACCUGCACAUCACAAUUGAGAAUAAUAUUAUAGAACCUAAAUACUCAAAAACCUAAAACCUUCCCCUUAACCAAGAAGCUAAGACGCCAUGGAUAAUUUUAUAUCUACAACACUUAUGAAUUUCAUAUGCUUAAUAAUAGUUUACAAAAAGACAAGUAAAGAACACUUACUUCGGUUGAUGUAUGGUAUAAUAAGUCUGCAAAGCAGUAAGAGUAAGUGCAGCAAUGGCACCCAAAAAUGCUAAAAACGUCCAAGGACUCCUAAAAUAAGUAUGAUAACCUUGAGCUGCAUGAUUAAUCCACAUAGUCUUACAAUGAUUAUGUAUUUUCUCUUUAACCCCACUGUAAAUUGUCGGACUAGGAACCAAAUCAGUGUUCAUCUUAUUGAAAAGCUUAGCCAUUUCUUCAUCACUGCCCAAUCCAUUGUAUAGUAUGCCGGAGUCUCUAAGGUCUUUAACAUCUUCGGCUUCAUCGAUCAAUAAAUCAAGGAAACACAUAUAUGAAGUGACGGUGAAAUCGUUGUCGAAAUCCGGACACAUUUCGUAAGCUAUUAAGUUCAUGGUUGAAUCAUCGACGGAGAUCGGCGGUAACCGUAAUUUUCCGAAGAAGAAGAUAUGGUUGAAACUGAUGUCGGUUAAAUUACUUGUUUCGCUGGCUUCUAACCAUAUCCCGGCCUUUUUAAGCUCUUUUACGUUACCAAUGGUGCGUGAAUGGUACCGUUUUGUUCUUUUUCUUCUUGCUGCUGCUUUGCCAAAUCCGUGUCGAGUGAAUUCCCAAAGAAAACACCAGCACCGUAUUCGUACUUUUCUGAGAAGGAGUCUUUCUCGUAGUAGAUGCAAUAAGUGAAUUCGCUCUCCUUCUUUUUGCUGCUUCCACCACCAUUCCCUACACCAAAAUCUGUGUUAGUCGGAAGCCAAGCUACAAUUUCUCUUUUCUUUUUUUCUUUUUUGUUGUUGGAUUUGGAAUUGUUAAUUUAUAUGAAGCUAAAAUUAAGAUUUUCAAAAUAAAUAAUCCAACGAUUAAGUUAUUCAAUUUACUUAAUUUAAUUGAAUAAAUUAUUAAAAACUUCGAUUCGAUAAUACGGUUUAAUUAAUUUUUUUUACCCUGUUUAUAUAAAGUUUUAAAUCGGUUAAUCUACUCCGAAUUGAUAAUUCAAUUAAUUUUCAAUCCAAACCCAUUCAAACAAUAUUAACUAAAAUACAAUUUUUAUUGUUGUAUUAAUGCAAAAAUCUUACCAGUUUUAAAACAUUAAACUUUUCCAUUCUGAAAAGUUGGAUUUGAAAUCAUAAUUUUUAAUUUCUAAAAAUGAACACUCAAGGAUAAAUGUAAAACGACAGGCAGGGGUCGUUCCCAAGAAAUGAAAAUUUACACUUUAAUCUCUUUUAAAUUUAUUAAAUUAUAAUAAGUCCUCAAAUUAAAAAAUAAUAAUUGUUCAAUUUAAAAAAAAUAAAAUCAUAAAUUAAUACAAAAAAAAUUAAAAAUCAAUCAGGUUGAAUAAAAAAUUAAAUAAAAUUGAAGUUACACCAAUUGAAUUAAAGAAUCAAAUAAAUUUCUUUUUAUAUUUUUAAUAUUUUUAAAAAAUUAUAUAAUUAAAUUGAAUAAACUAAUCAACCAGAAAUGAGAGUUUAAUAGAUUCCAUCACUCAUGUAGUUAUAAAAACCUUUUAACAUUUAUAAACUGCACAAAAAUGAUGAUUUAUUUAAUUCCCUAAAUUACCUGUCCUCGCCUGGGAUGAUAACAGUUUCGUCGAUGAACCUUUGGAUUGCAUUCAUGAACUUUUCGCCAUUUUUUCUAGGCCUUGUAAGCAAUUCAAGAACACGAAAAGGUAAUUGGUUUUCCAACAAGAACAGAUCCGAGUACACAAAUGUCAGCAAAUCGUCUUUAAUAAACAAUUUACCAUCAUUAUCAUCACCAUUAUCAUCAUCACCGUAACGCCUGUAAACUGCUUGUAAAAUUGCGCAGCCGUCAACGAAGAAAAUCCAAGCCAGUUUCUCGUUAUCGUUGCUAUACUUCUCUAAUCCCUUUGGAUCAUAGCAUUUCUUUAAGUCAUCAAUCUCUUUCUUCAUGUUGUUGUACAACGUAUCCUUAUCGACGCCAAUUUUUUUGACGAAAAGUGCUGCUAAUUUGAGCUUGAGCUUCUCGGAUUUCCGGAGGGUGGGAUCAUCGUGGUGGAGUGGGCCGAUUGAGAUCACUUUCGGCUUGAAAUACUUCCUGAAAUCUUGGUGACGACCAAGGGUUGAUGGGACUCUUUGUAUCAAUGGUUUGGCACCGAGGUUGAUUUCGUCGCCGUCGAAAGCUUCGUCUAAUAACCGGAGAUUCGCUACUUCUCCAUCUCUAAGAGGGACGUCCAUAUCAAUGCUCACGGAAUCGUUGUUGUCGGUGAUUGCUUGAUCAGUGGAAACUGCUCCGACGGCGCCGCCUCCUUCCUCCGUGGAGAACAUUUUCAGGCUGAGUGGUUGGAAGUAAUAAACAAGGUGAUUUUGUAAACUGCUUUUGGCUGAGUGAGUGAUGUUGGAGAAAAGGUGGCAAAGUGGAUACGAUGAUGGGAAAUAUUUUAUAGCUUACACGAUACACAUAUAUAUAUGGGAAAUACUUAAGGUGUAAUUCAAAUUUACCCUGUUUAUAUUUUUACUAAUAUAAUUUUAAUUUUUUAAUUAAAUUUAAUUCUCUUUUGAAAGAGUCAAUGAUAAAAAAGAAAUUAGGAAAAUGUGUAUAUAGAUGUACAUAUAUAAAAAAAUUGCAAAAAUAUAUUUACAAUAAUUUUGAAGGGCGUACGUGUGUAUCAAUAUCUAUUUAUGUAUAUAUAUAUAUAUUAUAAAAUAUAAAAAAUAUAUAAAUAUAAUAGAAAUAUAAAUGUAUAUACGUAUAUAUGUAUAUAAAAGCUAAAAAAUAAAUAAUAACAAUAUAUAUAAAAAUAUGUAUAUGUAUUAGAGAAAUAUUUAAUAUAUAUAUAUAUAUCUAUUAGCAUACAUAUGCUUAUAUAUGUAAGUAUAAUUAUAAUACUAUAUAAUAUAAUAAUAAUAAUAAUAAUAAUAACAAAAACUAAAAAAUAAACUACAAAAAAAAACCUUAAAAAGGACCAUUAAGGAUUAAACUGAGAGCUAAACGAAGUUAAAAGGCCAAAUUUAAAAAUAGAAAACACCAGGAAGGACCAAAUUGAUACGCGCGCCAUGAGAGGAGGACUUAAAAAGUAAUUUUCCCAAGUCACUCAAGCACUGCGCAGUGAUAUGGAUUAAAUCGUCACGCAAGCGAAAUAUUUGGGCCGAACUUAAAAGAAAAAAACUUGAUUAAACACAUCGCAAAAUGGGGAGGGCUAGAUGCGCAAUUUCCCCACUCAGGGCCAGAACGCGCGGAUCCCCCCUCCGGGUCGGGUCGACACGCUGGUCAUGGCACCCUAAACGGCGCCGUUUCGUCUUGUUUUAAAAACUCCUAAAUCUGACUUUCUUUGAUUUGAAACUGGAAAGAAAAAAAAAACCCUAGGGGUUUUGUUUUCUCCCCCGCGCCGCUUCCAGUCGAUCCGGCCGAUUCGAAUCUCGGCCCCAAAUCUGGCUCCGAUUAAGACGAAGCAGACAUGGUUUUCAAUGGCACAACCACGUAGGUAAUAUUCCUUUUUUUAUUUUUUUGUUUAACACACAAAAAUCGGUAAAUAAAUUAAGCAAACAAAGAAGAGAAAACAAAACUAAGAAGAACGUCACCUCUUUUAUUUCACUCUUUUUUCGAUUUUCAGUAUUCCCCCCCCCACUAUUUACAUAUUGAAGUUGGCCUUUUAUAGCCGAAAUGGAAAUGAAAACAUGAACAAAAUCAAAAAGAAAAAUUGUUGCCCGAUUUUUGCUAUUUUGUUUUGUUCUCUUUGUUGUGUUUUUGUUGCUGUAGGUAAUGCGUGCGGGGAAGGCGCGAGAUUCGCGGCGACGAGGAGCGCGAUGUGUAGGCGCGACGCACGGGAGUAGUUGCAGCACCAGUUACUGCGGCGCUGAAGCAGAAGCUUAUUUAGGGUUUGUGCAAUUUUGAUGUUUUUUGGGCUAGGGUCUGAAAAUUAGUUGUUGGGCGGCCUGUUAAUGGUUUGGGCCCGGGCAUUAUUGGGUUUUUAUAGCUGCCCCUCUUUGCUCAUUGUCGUGUAACGGAAAUAGAGCAAAGACUAAAAGCCCAAUUGUGCUCGGUCUUACUGAACCUCGACUUCUUCAAUACUUUUCCUUCAAGUAGCCUCAUUCCCUCCUACUGCAUCUUCAGAGGUAUAGGAACUAGUGCUUCAAUCUACUCCGCUACAAUGUCAGAGAGAUAGAAUUCAUACUUUGUAGCUUCUCAAAAGAACAAAAGUUGUCAUCUUUUAUCUGUUUCACUGCAACUUCAGGGAGAUAAGACUUAUAGCUUCACCUUGUUCUGCUGCUCCAUUGCAACUUCAAGGAGAUAGGAUUGGUUUUUUUUUCUGUCUGUUCCACUGCAACUUUAGGGAGAUAAGACUGAAUAUGAUCUACUCUCUGCAACUUCAGAGAGAUAAGAUCUGCUGUAUUUGAUCUACUUCACGCCAAUACAUGAAGACAAGAUCUACUUUUUUUGGCCUACUUCGCCACCUGUAUGGGAAGACAAGAUCUACCAUCUUUGACCUGCUUCACGCCAAUACAUGAAGACAAUAUCUGCUUUCUUCGGUCUACUUCGCCACCUGUAUGGGAAGACAAGAUCUGUUUUCCUCAAUCUACUUCAUGCCAAUACAUGAAGAUAAGAUCUGUUUUCUUUGACCUACUUCGCCACCUGUAUGGGAAGACAAGAUCUACCAUCUUUGACCUACUUCACGCCAAUACAUGAAGACAAGAUUUGCUUUCUUCCAACCUGCUCCACUAUUGUUCAGGGAGAUAAGGCCUUAUGAUUUCAUUGAUCUGCUCUCUGUGGAACAUGACCUGUAUGAUUCAUUUUAUGAGCCUAAUUAUGCCUAAGGAUUAGGAUGUCAUGAUCAGAAUGAAUCAAAUGCUCCUAACUAGACAUGUAUGAAUGACAUUUGAAUGAGUGCAGAAUGUCAUGAGAAUGAUAUUUUAACGCUUGAGUUAUUAUUACUCCAAGUUUAUUAACGUUAUCGCCAAUAUGCUCUAGCGCCUUAUUGCUCGGCUGGCGUCUCUAAAAAAACUUGACCAGAUUGCCCCCACUAUAAACCUUCAAGUUUGAUCAACUGGGAUGCAAAAUUUGUACCAUUUUUCUCCUGUUGUAACCUAAGAGUAAAAGAUUUGACUUUUUCUCGAUCCUCUGUUAUCACAAUUCAAAGAUACAUGAUGUGAAACUUUUUGGUCUAUUACAUCAUUCUGAGGGUGUUGUACCAAAUGCUCAUGCACAAAUGAAGAAAUUUCUUCUCUAAGAAUAACUUCUUCUUAUUAUUCGGUGAUUACUUAAGUGACCUCAUUGAAGCUUUGUCACCAACACGACAUCUUGCCAUUUUGUUCAAUCAAUACUUCAGACAAGAAAAUUCAAAGGGAUAAUAUUAAUUUAGACUCUUCUUUAUCAGGUUUCCAACCUUUGAACCUGGUGCCUUCUAAAUAAUAGUCAUGUUUGAGGUUCCUAUAUUAUUUAAAAGCUUCUAGAGUAAUAAGCAAAACUUCCUUUGUGAAAUUUUUACUAGUCCAUUCAUCAUUAUUCUAAUGCAACAUGAUUGCAAAAGGAUCAUAAUAAUGGAUAAGAAUAGAGUUGGUCCUGAGCAUAGCUCGAAAUGAAUAAAUUAUCAAAAAUAAAGAUGGAUAGCAAAGAAAUUGAUUUAGGAAUGCGUAUCUUAGAAAUGAAGGAAGUGUUCCAAGAAUAACAAAAAUAGUAUAAGGAUGAGGUGCCCCAGAUAUCGCAGCUUGAACUUCUCUGUACAAACUUUUUGAAGACCAUUCUGAGUUUAACAUGUGUUUAGGAGAUCUAUAGUACUUUGUCGAUGCCCCCAAGAUGUCGCCUACCCCUUCCUGUUGAUUCAGGUAUAGCAAGACCACUGCAUGCCCCACUCUAAUCAGUAUUUGAGCUACUCUGAUAGCUUCUAGUGUCAUUUUGAUCAAUAUUCGAGCUACCCUUUUCGGGUUUUUAACUCAAAUCCCCUUUAGUUUAAGGUGCCCUUUGCGGGUUUUCACCUUAGCCUCUCCAUUUUAUUUUUUUCAUUCUUCAUUUUAUCAUUUUUUUUACGACUCAAAGUGCCCUUUGCGGGUUUUUACAUUGGUCAUCUCCUUCUUUAAGUAGAUUAUUUCCUGACUGAACUUGAGUUUACAGGACUUUGGAGGUUUAUCAUUUCACUCAAAAUCAAAACUCCUUUGGAAAAGACCUUCUUUAUAACAUAAGGUUCUUACCAAUUUGGCAUCCGUUAUUUUUUUUGUAGGGUGAGGAUCUUCUUCAGCAUUAGGCCACCAUCGUGGAAUUCUCUGGGACAAACCUUUUGCUAUUGGCUCGCAUCGUUCAUUUCUUGGUACAUCUGACCAUGAUGAAUAGUUUCUAGCCUUUUUCUUCAAUUAGGUUCGACCAAACGUAUCGGGAUUGGAUCUUCAUCCUACUUCAGCUCAGUCAAAAUCCAAAGAGAAAGAAUUUCAACUUCAAUGAAAAAAAUCGUGAAAAACUGAAAAGAGUGGCAUUGCCCCGAUUGAGUUUUCUCUGCACCAUUCAUGAUAUUCACCUUGAACAUACCGCAAAUUUCUGAUAUUGUGCUAUUGUUCAGAUUACAAUGACAGUGCUUAAAUUGGGCACAUCCUCGUAUGACCAUGCGAAGACAUCUUUGAACUCUUGAAGUAACUCAAUAACAUCUUGCUUUGUUUCUUCGGUCAUGCAUGUUCCCUCAAGGUCACAUUCUCCAUUGUCCCCUUAUGAGGUAAAUUUGUUUCUCUUAUUGUUUUACCACCCUCAACAAGUCAGGAGAUAUGCUACAAUCUAUGACAUCUUCAAAGUCAUGAGAUCCCUCUAAACACAUGUCUCCCUUAACAAGAGAUUCAGAGUCCGUAGCAGUGCCAAUCAUGUCAUUGAUAUCCAGAGACCUAUUAUAGGUGCCAAAGAAUGUACAUAAUAUGAAUGAAUAAAAGAAUGGUUUGGCAGAAAAAUCUAAAAGAAUGAACGAAUCGUAAAGAAUGAAAGAACAUUUGCUCAAAAAUGAUUGCAAUAAUGUAUUUCAUUAAAAUAAUCAUGUUCGGACAUGAGCCAAUUUCACAAAGACGUUCUUAUUUCUUUUAGGCUAAAAGCAACAAGGGUGUUCUGAAUAUUACUCUAAUAGACCCUAAAUACUGUAGGGGUUUCCUCUGCAGUCCCAUUAUUUAUAGCACCUCUCAGGCGAAUAUCUAACCAGAACCCUUUUAAUUGCGUCUGCACACAUGGCAUCGAUGUGCAAAUUUCUUACCACUUCUCUAUGCAUUGCAUUCCCUCCAUUAUCAAUCAUGAUUGGGUAAUGGAUUUUCUGCACUUGAUGAGUCACCAAACUUGACAACACCCAUGUCGAUGAGUCUUGCAACUUGCUUCUUGAAGGAAGUGCAAUUCUCAAUCGAGUGUCCCAUAAUUCCCACAUGGUAUUCACAUUGUGUGUUCGCAUCAUACCAUUUGGGAUACAGAGGUUGUAGAGGCUUCACAGGAAAAGGAGAAACAACACGGGCAUCAAACAAAUUUUGAUACAGUUCCCUAUACGGUAUUGGGAUUGGUGUAAACUGGAACUUCUUAGUCUUUAUACCAGAAUCCUGCCUUGAUGAAUUUUUUUGAUUAGUAACCACCUUUCUUGGCUGACUCAUAGUAACUGAUUUAAAGUAACCCGUGUUGUUCACCUCAUUUUCUCUUCUCCUUGAGGCUGACCUCCUGUUACUCUCCUCUGCAUCGAUUUUUUCGCUCCUUAUAGCAUUUUUUAUCAUUUCACCGUUCAUAACUAUGUCAGAAAAGCUUUUUGUAGCACUUCCUAACAUAUGUGUGAUGAAUGGAACUUUUAAUGUAUUUAUAAAGAGCAUUGUCACUUCUCUUUCCAAGAGCGGUGGCUGAACUUGGACGGCGACUUCCCUCCAUCUCUGUGUGUACUGCCUAAAGCUUUCACUCAGCUUCUUCUCCAUGUUUUGAAGGGUGAUUCUAUUAAGAGUCAUGUUUUUCACAUGACUAUAUUGUUUCAUGAACGACUGUGCCAAAUCCCUCCAUGAACCAAUCGUGGUACAACUCAGUUGAUUGUACCACUUGGAUGCUGCCCCUACUAGGCUAUCCUGGAAACAGUGUACCAAAAGCUGGUCAUUGCUAACAUAUCCGGCCAUGCGCCUGCAGAACAUGGUGAUAUGAGCUUCUAGGCAACUUGUCCCAUUGUACUUCUCAAAUUCUGGCAUCUUAAACUUGUGAGGAAAUACUAAAUCUGGGACCAAACUCAACUCUUUGGCGUCGAUUCCCCGAUAAUUUUCAGUGACCUCCAUCGCCUUGAACUUCUCCUCAAGCCAUUUGCACCUUUCUUCUAACUAUUUUGGUAACUCCUCCUUUAUUCUUUCCCUCUCGGCACUUCAUCAAAGUCAGAAUGACAGAGUUAAUAGGGUUGUUGCCGAGGUUAAAGCCCGAUCCGACUUGAAAGUUUGAAGCACUGGCUUGGAAUUGCUGAGGCCUGAUUGUAACAGUAGGUUUGUGCGAAUAUUCAGCUUGAGUUCGGGAAUAUAGUGGAGUAAAGCCUGGAGGAUGGAUAGUUUCAUCCUCAUUACCCUCUUCGAUAUCGGUCAUGGGACCCUUUCCCUUAUCACCUCCUUCAGUCAACAGUUGGGUUAGCUUUGCCAUCAUACUGUCCUGGGAUUUUUGUAUCUUUUCUGACAUAUCCUGUUGCAUCUUGUCCAACCGCUCUUGAAUUUUUAGCUGAAGUCUGUCUUCCAUCUCCUUCUGGUACUGUUCGAGCUUUUCCAAUCUCUGUCCAUAUCUUUAACGUUUGCUCGAGUGUCGUAACGGUGUUUGGUUGGUUGGUUGGUUUCCAGGUUAACUGAGCAAUGAUUUUAUCAAUUAGGCUGUUUUAGUGGAUUUUAAUGCAUACGAUGUCAUGUAAUGCAAAUGCAUGAAAUGAAUGCCUAAAGAGAUGUUAACUUUGAUUCUAUUACAUUUAAAAAACUUUACUAGAAGACAAAUUUCUUUACAUAAAAUAGAUAUAUAUAUAUACGGCUUUGCCCUCAUAUUCCAGUCAAAGACAUCUUCUCCUUCAUCUGGAUGCUAGGAUAAACCUUGCGAAUUCUUCAAAAUGGACGUCUCUUCUAUCUCUUUUUGCUUGAUCCUGGUUGAUAUCCAUCAUCUACCCAUCUUUGUAAUGCUCCUCGGCUUCUUUUAGAUUGUCGAAAACUCCUGAAUAAUCAGCUUGAAUCCUCGGGCCAUAGAGUAAAGUCACGAACUCUUCUGUCGCUCUUCUUGUGUUUCUCAGAAUAUAUUCAGGCAACCGUAUUAUUUUCCAUUUUAUUAAGAAAUCCGUAUUCCAUUACAAGCUUUCUAAGUUAGUAAUCGAAUGUGAGUCAACACCUCUUUUCUAUAAUGAAAUGCUAUGAAGUCAAAAAAUGUCAUGCAGUCAAAACAAAACACAACAAGUUAGCAUCAGGUAUAAACAUUAAAUCCAAUACAAUCAAGAAAUAACAAAAACUCCUAGUCAGGUAUCUACUAAGGUUUAGAGUACUUCUACGUAGGGUAAGUUCCUAAAGCUCACUAUAUAAGGUUUAGUUUCUAGAGUAAGGGUACCCGAACUAGCUGAUUCCUCGAUCCUCACCCAUUAUAGGCUCAUGUGGAUCGAGUCCAGUUCAGGGGGAUACAUUUCCCUAUGGCUGCACGGAGAUGAAAUCUCACGAAGACAUAGGUACGGAUGUAUCCCGGAAGCGGUCCAUUACCCUGCACGGAGGUGAAAACCUCACAAAUGACUAGUUUCUCGCUCAAACUUAAGGGGUAAAAUGCAAAAUGCAAAUGCAAUGUUGCCAACAUACCAUGAUGAAAAAAAUCAAUAAGUACGAAGGGAACUCAUGAAUUUUAAAAACUUUUGAUUUUUGACACAAAGACAAAUAUAAUCAGUUUAUGGCUAGACUCUCUAACGUCCCCAGUGGAGUCGCCAAGCUGUCGAAACCGUCUUCUUGAAAACAAAAAUUUAGUUGUCGACUUUAAAAAGAAAACUGGAGUCGCCACCGAUCCUUUAUUAAGGUGUGAGCGGCCCACCUUAAAAAUUAUUUUGGUCUACAAGCUUUAAGAAAACAAGUUCGGGAGUCAGUUAUGCACGAGGAAGGGUUAGCACCCUCGUAAUGCCCAAAAUCGGUACCAAAUCGAUUAUUUAAUGUCUUAGUGUCGUGGACUAGAAAGAAGUUAAAAAAAAACCAAAUGAUGAAAUCAGAAAAGGAUAAUCAAUUGUUCAAGACAUGUAAAGAAAUCGACCCAAUACGUUAGGGUACAAUUUCUCAAAAUUCCCGAACUUUGAAUAUCACUUUUAUUUUAUGCGAAAAUAUUCAUUUUGAGAAAGUAACAUGCCACACCCAAUACGUUAGGACACGACAAGUUAAGUUCCAAAAAAUGAUUUUUAUACUCAUGCAUUUUGAAUAAAAAAUAUUCUCGAUUAUUUAAAAUUAACAAAGAAAAUCGGAACCCAAUACGUUAGGGCUCAAUUUUCUCAGAAUUCCAAAUACCGAAUUGUGCCUUUUAUUCGAAAAUUCUUAUUUCGAGAGUCAAAAUAUCAUGACCAGUAAGUUAGGACCUGACAUUUUUGGAUUCCCGAGAACAAGCUUUUAUUUGAAAUUUGCAUGAAUUUAUUUCAAAAUGAAUACCUGGUUUUCUAAAUUCACCAAGAAAUAAUCGCAAUCCAGUAAGUUAGGAUACGGUUUUUCUCGAGAAUCAUGAAUGCCAAAUAUUUUGGAAUUUUAUAAAAUAUGAUGAUUUUAAUGCUUUGACAGAACCAAAAUAUAUUUUCUUUAAAAAGUGUAGAAAAAUGCUAAUGUAUCACAUAAAAUCAAUAUUUUAAUUUUAAAUUAUAUGCAAAUAUGUAUUUUCAAAAUAUAAGUAUGAUACAUAAAUAAAUUUUAAAAACAUGUAUAUACACAUAUUAAAACAAGUAUAUAUAAGUAUACAUAUAUAAAAUAAAAUAAUGAAUGAUAUAUGUAUAUCAAAAUAAAAAUUAUUAAAAUUUCUAAAAAAAAUCAUGUAUGUAUAUACGUAAUGAAAAUUGUAAAAAUAAAAAUAAAAAAUAUGCAAAUGCGUAUAUAUUUACAAAAAAAAAAAUAUAAGUAUACAUGCUUUAGUAAAACAGAAAUAAUAAUAGUAUAUGAAGAAAUUAGGAAAAUGUGUAUAUAGAUGUACAUAUAUAUAAAAAAAUUGUAAAAGUAUAUUUACAAUAAUUUUGAAGGGCGUACGUGUAUGUCAAUAUCUAUUUAAAAGCUAAAAAAGAAAUAAUAACAAUAUAUAUAUAAAAAUAUGUAUAUGUAUUAGAGAAAUAUUUAAUAUAUAUAUAUCUAUUAGCAUACAUAUGCGUAUAUAUGUAAGUAUAAUUAUAAUACUAUAUAAUAUAAUAAUAAUAAUAGAAAUAAUAAUAAUAAUAACAAAAACUAAAAAAUAAACUACAAUAAGAACCUUAAAAAGGACCAUUAAGGAUUAAACUGAGAGCUAAACGAAGUUAAAAGGCCAAAUUUAAAAAUAGAAAACACCAGGAAGGACCAAAUUAAUACGCGCGCCAUGAGAGGAGGACUUAAAAAGAAAUUUUCCCAAGUCACUCAAGCACUGCGCAGUGAUAUGGAUUAAAUCAUCAUGCGAGCGAAAUAUUUGGGCCGAAUUUAAAAGAAAAAAACUUGAUUAAACACAUCGCAAAAUGGGGAGGGCUAGAUGCGAAAUUUCCCCACUCAGGGGCAGAACGCGCGGAUCCCCCCUCCGGGUCGGGUCGACGCGCGGGUCAUGGCACCCUAAACGGCGCCGUUUCGUCUUGUUUUAAAAACUCCUAAAUCUGACUUUCUUUGAUUUGAAACUGGAAAGAAAAAAAAAACCCUAGGGGUUUUGUUUUCUCCCCCGAGCCGCUUCCAGUCGAUCCGGCCGAUCCGAAUCUCGGCCCUAAAUCCGGCUCCGAUUAAGACGAAGCAGACAUGGUUUUCAAUGGCGCAACCACGUAGGUAAUAUUCCUUUUUUUUAUUUUUUUUUGUUUAACACACAAAAAUCGGUAAAUAAAUUAAGCAAACAAAGAAGAGAAAACAAAACUAAGAAGAACGUUACCUCUUUUAUUUCACUCUUUUUUCGAUUUUCAGUAUUCCCCCCCCCCCUAUUUACAUAUUGAAGUUGGCCUUUUAUAGCCAAAAUGGAAAUGAAAAGUUCUCUUUGUUGUGUUUUUGUUGCUGCAGGUGAUGCGUGCGGGGAAGGCGCGAGAUUCGUGGCGACGAGGAGCGCGAUGUGCGGGCGCGACGCGCGGGAGUAGUUGCAGCACCAGUUACUGCGGCGCUGAAGCAGAAGCUUGUUUAGGGUUUCUGCAAUUUUGAUGUUUUUUGGGCUAGGGUCUGAAAAUUAGUUGUUGAGCCUGUUAAUGGUUUGGGCCCAGGCAUUAUUGGGUUUUUACAAUUCCUCAAUUAUUUGGAUUAGAUUUAGAUUGAAAAACAAUCGACACUUGAUUUGAUUGUUUAAAUUUAUAAUAUUUAACUUGAGUGAGAAUGAAUUUUUUACUUAAUUAAAAUUUUAAAAUAGUAAGCUCGAGUCUUUUUUUUAAUUAUGUUUAUAUCAUGUAUAAAUUUUGUUCAAAUUUAUUUUGAUUUAAUUCUCAUACUAUAUAUUCUUAAUUAAAUUCGGAAUAUAUUCUGUUUAUCAAUUUAAUUAUACAUCGUAACAAUGGAUUUGGAUUAUAGUUAAUUAUAUAUUGAAACUAAAUAAUUAGUUUAAGGAAUUAAAAGAGAGAUUAUUAUAUUUUAUAAAAUUUGAAUAGAUUAAUAAUUAAUUCGAGAUUAAAAAAUUGUCUAUCUUUAUUUCCCCGGAGUUUAAUUUAUUAUUUUCCCUAAUUUUAAAUCCAAAUAAUUAGGAGAAGAAAAGGCUAAAACCAAACCUUUUUUACGGUUUGAACUAAACCCCAUGCGGUCUGGAAAAUUGCAAGUUUCCAGAAUACCUACUCUUACUAAUUAUAAGAAAAUUUAUAAACUGCUUUCCAUUUUAGAGGACGAAGGCCUUGCCUACCCCUCCUUCGUAAUUUUUUCUUUUGUCUAAAUUAAUCUUGAAAUUUGAUAGGUUUUUUUUGUUCUUUUAGUCAUUUAACAUUGGUUAAUGGUACAUCAUUACUUGGAUUUGUUUUAAAUAAAUUCUUUCUAUCCUUUUUAGAUUUUAUGUAAGUUGUUUAAAAUUUCCAAAUAAUGACAUGAUUGUUUAAUAUAAUUCAAGUUCAAGAACUAGAUUAAAAAAACUGUUAAGUUCAAUUCAAAGACUAAAAUAUUAAUUUAUCCCUAAUAUUCGUUACCCUGUUUUAAAAUUUCAUUGAAUUUCUUGCCUGCCUACUUUUGUUAUUGACCGUUGCUUUGUUCUUCGUUUUUUAAUUUGAAGUCCCAUAAUUGAAAAAAAAAAUUGGAUGAGAAAUAUCUAAAAUCAUUAGAAUCAUGAAAAAUAUAAUCUCAAAUCCAACGAAUUACCCAUAUCAAGUUACAGAGACUUAGGCCUGGCUAUGGUGAAUUCAUCCCCUACAUUUUAGCAGUCCCAGGUAAACAACACUUACUUUGGUUGGUGUAUGGUAUAAUGAGUCUGCAAAGAAGACACAAAAAAUGCAGCAAUGGCACCCACAAGUGCGAAAAACGUCCAACGAGUCCUAAAACAAGUAUGAUAAGCUUGAGCUGGAUAUUGAAUCCACAUAUUCUUACAAUGAUUAACCUCACUGUAAGUCGUCUGACUACGAACCACAUCAGUGUUCAUCUUCUUGAUAAGCUUAGCCACUUCUUCAUCACUCCCCAAUCUAUUGUAUAGUAUGCCAGCGCCUCUCAGUUCCUUAACAUCUUCGGCUUCAUGGAUCAAUGAAUCAAGGAAAUCCAUCUAUGAAGUCACGGUGAAAUCGUUUUUGAAAUCCGCACAUUUCGUAAGCUAUUAAGUUCAUGGUUGAAUCAUCGAAGGUGAUCGGCGGUAACCGUAAUUUGCCGACGAAGAAGAUAUGGUUGAAACUGAUGUCGGAUAAACAACUUGUUUUGCUUGCUUUGAAACAUAUACCGGCCUUUUUAAGCUCUUUUACAUUACGAAAGGUGUGUGAAUGGUGCGGUUUUGUUCUUGUUUGGCUGCUGCGAUUUAACGUGCACAUGAAAAAUCGAGUGCAAAACCUAAAAUACCGCCAUGGUUUUUCCUUUUUUCUUUUUCGAAAAGGAGUCUUACUCGUAGUAGAUUCAAUAGGUGAAUUCGCUCUCCUUUUUGCUGCUGCCACCAUUCACUAGAGCAAAAUCUGUGUUAGUCGGGAGCCAAGCUAUAUAUAUAUAUAGGAUUUGGAAUUGUAAAUUUUUAUCAUAACUAAAGUUAAAAGAUUUCAAAAUCGAUAGUCCAACCGGAUAAGUUUAAUUGGUACAAUCAAUUCAUCUAAUUUGAUUAAAUAAAUCAUUAAAAAUAUUAGUUCAAUUACUUGAUUUAAUUAAUUCUUUUUCCAGGUUCGACAUGUUUAUAUAGGUUCUCAAAUCAAAUAGUCUAAUGAUUUUAUUCAAAUUGAUACUUCAAUUUAUUUCCAAUCUAAUCCUAUUUAAACAACAUCAACUAAAAUAUAAUUUGUAUUAUUGUAUUAAUGCAAAAAUUUUACCAUUUUUAAAGAUGUUAAACUAUCAAUUUUCCAUUUUAAAAAGUUGGAUCGGAAACAUAAUUAUUUUCUAAAAAAAAAUGUACACUCAACAGCAACAAUACAAAAGGGACGAGUGGAUUUGAAAAAUGAAAUAUUACAUUUUAUUCGCUUUAAAAAUUAUAAAUUAUAAAAUUAUAUAAUAAUAAAAUUACGCUUUUUAACUCUUCAAAAUUAAAAAUAUUUAAUCCUUUUAGAAAAUGAUGAAAUCACACAUGAAAAAUUUAAGAAUUAAACCAUACUUGUCGGUCGAGUUGGUUGAACAGAAAAUUGAGUAAGAUAUUGGUCUAGAAUAAGAGAUUAGACCAAUUGAAUAGAGUGAUAAAUUGAUUUUUUUAUAUUUUUAAUAUUUUCAAAAUUUUAUAUAAUUCAACUGGAAUGAACUAAUAAACCAGAAAUGAGAGUCUAAUCGAUUCAAUGACCCAUUUAAUAACAUUUAUAAACUCCACAAAAUGAUUCUGUUCUAAAUUCCUUGAAUUACCUGUCCUGCUGAUGUGAUUGUGGCUCUUUCAUGUAAGCUGGGGUGAUAACAGUGUCGUCGAUGUAUCUUUUGAUCGCCAUCAUGAACUUUUCGCCAUUUUUGCUCGAGCUUGUAAGCAAGAAGACGAAAAGGCAAUUAAUACACAAAAAAAAAAGAAAAAAGAAUCAAACCAGAAUUCUAGGCUAGGAAGCACAGACACGGCUCAUCUCUCCCCGUAUCGGUGUCGUACGUGUGUCCGAUACAGACACUCGACAGACAUACCCAAAUACGUACGGGACAAGCUGGAAUAUAUCAAAAAAAAUUUAUUGGCAUAUCUUACUAUAUCCAUGUCCUAUUUUUUAAAAAUUAUCAUGUUACCGUGUCUGUAUCAUAUCGUACCCGUAUUGCGUGUCUAUAUUCAUAUUCCAUAGCUUGUAGGUAAGGGCUGAACAAAGAAUUGAGUAAGGCACUAGGUCUAGAAUAAAGAAUUAGACCAAUUGAAUCGAAUUAUUGAAUUGAUUUUCUUUGUAUUUUUAAUAUAUCUUUAAUAAUUUUAAAAUUUUAUAUGAUUGGACCGAGUCGUUAAUCAAUAAAAAUUGAGGGUCUAAUAGAUUAAAAAAACACCUUUUUAACAUAUAUAAAACUCAAAAAAAUAUUAUUUUUUAAAUUCCUUAACUUACCUGUCCUGCUGAUGUGAUUCUGGCUUUUUAACGGUGUUGUUGGUGAACCCUACGGUUGCCUCCAUGAACUUUCUGUCAUCGUUCGAUCUUGUAAGCAAUUCAAGAACACGAAAAGGUAAUUGGUUUUCCAACAAGAACAGAUCCGAGUACUCAAAUGUCAGCAGUUCGUUUUUAAUAGACAAUUCGUUCGACAGAUGCUCAUAAUCUUGGCCAUCAACAUCAUCAUUACCGUAACGCAUAUAAACUGCUUGUAAAAUUGUGCAGCCGUCAACGAAGAACAUCCAAGCCAGAUUCUCGUUAUCGUUGGUAUACUUAUCUAAUUCCUUUGGAUCAUAGCAUCUCUUCAAGUCAUCGAUCUCUGUCUUAAUGUUGUUGUACAAGGUUCCCCUAUCGACGCCAAUGUUUUUGACCAAAAGUGUUGUUAAUUUGCACUUGAGCUUCUUGGAUUCAUGGAGGGUGGGAUCAGCGUGGUGGAGUGGACCGAUUGAGAUCACUUUCGGCUUGAAAUACUUCCUGAAAUCUUCGUGACUGCCAAGGGUUGAUGGGACUCUUCGUAUCAAUGGUUUGGCUUUGGGGUCGAGUUGGCUGCCGUCGAAAGCUUCGUCUAAUGACCGGAAAUUCUCUAAUUCGCCAUUGCUGAGAGUGAGCUCCGUACCCGGCAUUGGAACGAUCGUCUCUUGGGGAUUGUUGGUGGUUUUGGUGAUUGUUUGAUCAGUAGAAACUGCACCGCCGGGAGCUCCGACGGCGCGGCCUCCUUUCUCCGUGGACGACAUUUUCAGGCUGAGCGGUUCGAAAAAAGGUGAUUUUGGAAACUGUUUUUGGCUGAGUAAUGUGGGAAAAAAGGUGGCAAAAUAGCUACGAUGAUGACAAGUGUUUGGAUAGCAUAUAUAAUAAACGUAUGGAAAAUAGUUUGGUGUAAUAUUAAAUUUAGCCCUUAAUAUUUAUAUUUUUUUAAUUUAAUCCUUUUUUAAUUAAAUUAAUUUUUACCUUAUGAAAGAGUCAAAUUUGAUUACCAACACUUUAGAAAAGAGUUGAAUUAAUGUUUUUUAACGAAAAUAGUGAUUAAAAUGUUAGAUUUGUAAACAUGACAAUUCAGUGUAUAUAUUUUUUCGUUUUUAUUUUUAAAUUAUCGUUCUGUUACACAAUUUAUUCCGAAUAUCAUUAUUAAAAAAUUUUAAAUUUUAAAAAUGAAAAACUGGUAUAGUUUUAAAAUUAAAUUGAGUACAAAAUCAUUUUAAAAUUAUGAGUAAAAAUAUAAUUUGAGAUAAUGCAAUUUUUUUAAGUAUGGUAUUUGGUCUUACUUUUCUUUUUUCUCUACUAGGGAGCCACUCCCAAGACUUUAUUAAAGGAUUUGGGUUACAUUGGCUGCUCCAACAUACUAUUUCUUUAAUCACAUAAAUUAAUAUCAUUUCAAUUAUAUGGGUCGGUACAUAUCAUUUCAAUAAAAUUUUGAAACAAUUAAUUUUAUUUUCGGCACAAAAGCGCCGGGAAAGGGGGCAAGUAGGGAUUGAAAAAUUGCUUUUUAUCUUUUCAAUGUAUAAAAUUUUAAAUUAUAAUUUUUGGACUCUCAUAAAUCACAAUAUUUUAAUUUAGUCUUUUAAAAAAAUUAUAAAAAUAUUAACUAAUACAAUGAUGAAACUGGGUCUUCAACUCGUAUCAAAAUUUAUAACUUAAUUUUGCUUCCUCAAAAAAAUUUUCUAACUUUACCCUUUUUUUUGCACUAGUAAAAAUUUUAAUCUAUAUCAAUUACACUGAUGAAAACAUUGUGCACUGGCUGGUAUAUAAAAGAUAUUAAAAAUAUAUAUAAAAAUACUAUUUCUUUUACCAAUUUUAAACUUUAACAAAAUUAAAGUAGAAAAGAAUUAUUUAACAAAUAAGCCAAUGAACAGAAAAAGUGGAAAUAUAAAUUUUAUUAAAUUAAUUUUGUUAGUAUGAGAUGAUGAUGUUGUGAGUUUUUUAAAAUAAUGUUAUGGUUAAUGUAUAUAUUUAUAAUACUAAUGAUAAUUGUAGUAUGGUAUUUGAUCUUCCUUUUCUUUUUCUCUAGUAGGAGCCACUCUCGUGUCUUUUAUCAAAGGAUAUUUAGUUUCAUUGGCUGCUCCAACAUACUAUUUUCUUAAUGAGAUAAAUUAAUAAUGUAGUUAAUUUUAUAUUGAUUUCAAUCAUAUUCAUCGCUAGAUAUUGUUUCAAUAAGAAAUCAAAACAAUCAAAUUUCAUUGUCUACACAAGAGCAAUGGGAUUGGAAAAUUACUUUUUUAUCUUUUAAAUGUAUACAAUUUUAAAUUAUAAUGGUAAAAUUGUACUUCAGUCCCUCAUAAAUCACAAGAUUUUAAUUUAGUUGUUUAAAAAAUUUAUAAAGAUAUUAGCUAAUACAAUGAUGAAAUUGGAUCUUAACUCUUACCAGGAUUUAUAAUUUAGUUUCGGUCCCUCAAAAAAAUUUUUUGACUUCACCCUUAUUUCCACACUAGCAAAAAUUUUAAUCUAUAUCAAUUGUAGUGAUCAGAACAUUGUACAUUAAUUAGUGUAUGACUAAUAUUAAAAAAAAUAUAUAAAAAUACUAUUUCUUUUAUCAACUUUAGAGUUAUAAAAUUUAUAUAAUCCCAUUAAUUUAAUGUUUUUAAAUAUUUUAAAAAUCUAUCGAUAAUUUUGAAAAGAUAUACAAAAACAGGCUAGUACUAAUAUGUAUCAAUUUUUGUGGAAAAAUAGUGCAUGUAGUACUAACUACCUUGGAAUAUAAAAAUCAUUUAGUUCUUUAGUUUGGCAACUUUCCUCAGCUUAGUCCUUAAACUUUUAUUUUAUCUACAUUAGUCUUUGAACUUGACAAUUUUUUCUUAUUUUGAUGCAUAUAAUGACACAUCAUUCUGAUAUUGUGUAAUGCCAUCACUUGAAAAUUAUAUUUUUAAUAAAAAAAAUAGGUGCUGACAUGAUAAAACGUCACCAUAAUAACCAAAAAUGAGAAAAAUUGUCAAAAUUCAUGACUGAUGUAAACAAUGGUGAAACCAGGGGAUGGCAAGGGCUCUGCCCCGUCCCCCAAAAUGAUUUUUUUUUCAUUUAGGCCAAUUUAUAAUUUAUAAAAUUUUAAAUUAGUAAUGAUAAAAUUACAUUUUACCCCAAAAACGAUAAAAAUUUGAUUUAAUCAUUUAAAUAUUAUAAAAAUAUAGAGUAUUAAAAUAGUAAAAUUAUAUUUUUAUUAUUACAAAAAUAUACAACUUAAUUUCGGCCCGUCCCAAAAGAAUAUUUGACUACACCCUUGAAUAUGGGCAAAAAAAGAAAGUCUAGAGAUCGAAUUGAAAAAAGUUACAAAAUUUAAUGAUUAAAUGUUAUCUUACUAUUUUAUUUAACUAAAAGUGUGUCAUAGACACCAAAGUCUUGUAAUUGAGUAAUAAAAAUUCAAUGCUUUUAAAUAAAUCUUGAAUUUAAAUCUCAUAAACAGAGAAAACAAUACUAAAAAAAUUUUACUUCCCACUUAAGAAUCCAACCCAACUCAAUUUCAAAUUUAUUGCAUAAAAUACGAGCAUGCAUGGAAUAUAUUGUCUCUAACCUUCUCUUUCACUUACUUUUUUAGAUAUUCAAACUUAAAUGAGUUCUAUGAUUAAACAUUUUUUGACCACAAAAUCAAUCACUUUGUCAUGAAAUUAUCAUUACCCAUAUUCUCAAACUUGAUAUUUUUAGGAACAUCAAAUUUUUUUAUUGAAGUUAUUAUACUUGAUUGUUUGCGCAUAUAUUAAUUGCAUUUCUCGUUCUACCUAACUCAUGAAAAAUCUCAACUUGGAACCACAUAUUAUUCACAUGACAAUCAACCAAUUCUUUUUGUUUUUCUUUUUUUGUGUAAUUAAGGUAAAAUAAUUUUGAUCGUCUUUCAUGGAUUCAAUAAUCUAGAACAUAAAAGGUUAACAAAAUUAUAUUUUUAAAGUAUGAUUCAAUAUUUAAGUUAAAUUGUAAUUUUUUUAGAUAAAAUGUGACAAAGGUUAUUCAAUUAUAAAAAGUUAUAAAAUAGUCAUUUAAUUAUUAGUAAAUUUUUAUUUUAGUUGUACAACUAUUUAAUUUUGUCACUAGCUGGCUAACAUAAAAAUAAAAGCACCCAAAAAUCUAAGAUAAUUUGGUGAUAAAAAAUAAAAUUGAAUAAUUGAGUGACUAUUUUGUAACUUUUCAUAAUAAAAUGACAAGAAAUCAUAAUUUAGUUUUGCAAGGAUAAGUAAGAAGAAGAGCUUAUCCCUACAAGACAGGUAGCAACAGUUAUUGAAGAAUUAUUCACGUUUUAGAUUUUUUCUUCUAUGUAAAUACAAUGAUGUUAAGAAAUUGACUAGUGCCAAGCUCACUUUAGCAACGAUCACUUCAAAUUUUCAAGCAUACAACAGCAGCAGCAGGCAGCAGGCAGCGAACGUAUGCACUAAUCAUUUGUUUUCAAGUACCAAUAUUAAGGGAAAAAAGUAAUAUUUAAUUAUCUGAAUUUGAUAAUAGAGACGAAGUUUAAAAAAAAGUUUUAGAAGUUGUUUUUUUAUGGGAGUUAAAAUAUAAUUAUAUUGGUUUGUAAUUUUAUAUUUUUACAGGGAAUAAAUUAUAAUUUUAUCAUUUUGGAAGUCAAGAUGUAAUUUUGUCAUGUAUUAACAUGUAAAAUUACAACUUUUAGGGGGCCAAGGCCUUGGUAAUUUAUCUACUUUGAUUUUUGAACUUUUUUUUUGUUUAAAUUAGUCUUAAAAUUUGAUAGUUUUUUUUCUUAAUUUAGUCCUUGAACCUUGGUCUAUGCUACAUUAUCACUUGGAAUUAAAAAUAUUUAUAAUUUCUUUUUAAUAUUUUUAGAUUUUUUGUAAGUUAUUUUAAAUUUUUAAAUGAUGACAUGACAUAAUCUCAAAGUGUCACACUUUCGCUCUUUAAUAGAAUUCAAGUUCAUGGACUAAAUUAAAAAAAGUUAAUAAGUUCUGUUAUUAACCAUUGCUUUGUUCUACAUUUUUUCUUUUGCUUUUUAGGUCCCAUAAUUGAAAAAAAUGGAUGGGAAAUUUCUAAAAUCAUUAGAAACAAGAAAAUAUGAUCUCAAAUCCAAUGAAUUACCCAAUCAAGUUACAGAGACUUAGGCCCUGGCUAUGGUGAAUUCAUCCCUUACAUUUUACCAGGCACAGGUGGAUUUUAAAAACACAAACAAUUAAAUUGGCUAAAUUUAUUCAUAUCCACCAAAUUAUUAGGAUUUUCAAAUAUAUUCAAGAAAUUAGGAGAGACAUUGGAUGAAACUAGAAGGGAAAUCACAAAUUGAACGAAAAGCAAAAUGACAUGGAAGGAGUAAAAGAAGAGAUGGCUAAAUUGCCUGAAAAAUUAGCACUUAUGUUAAGCAACAUUGAUGAUAAAACACAUAGGAUACAGCAUAUGUAGUGUAGCUUGGAAGAGAACAUGUAUAAGAUCAAUAAGGAUCAAAUUAAAAUUAUGGAAGAAUUGAGGGACUUGAAAAGGGAAAUGAAAGAGUUAAAGGAGGAUGUGAAAGAAGUUAAAUUAAAAAUUAGUGCGAAAGAAAGAUAAGGGUAUUUUUUUGCACAUCGUGAAUGUAAUAACGAAGCUCGAUUGUCGUCAGUGUUGUAUGGAAGAAUCGAAGAUGGAGUGAAUGAGUAUUUAGGAUUUUAAAGUUAAUAUCGAAAAAUUAUUGUAUGCGGGUAUGUGAGUGUGUUUCUGAUGUAAGGAAUAGUGUAAAAUAAAUUACGGUUUAGGGUUUUGUUAUAUAAGGAAGGAAAGCGCCUUUUAAGAUUGUUAGAGGCACUUAUCCUCGUGAUGUGUUUUUUUUUAGUGUAUGUAUUAUGGACCUAUUGAUGUAGUACAAGUUUAGCUCUUUUGAGUGUGUCUCGUGAUGUUAUGUAUGUUUUAUUGGAGCUCUUGGCUCCUAUGUUUCAAUGAUAAUAAAAUAUAUUUCAAGUAUAGUACUUUUGUAUAUUUAGAAUAUAAUAUUAUAUUUUUAUUUUAAGAUAAUUCCUCUACUACAACAAUGUUUAAUGUAAAUAUGAAUUCAUAUUGUGAUUUAUUAUUAUCAUCUGAUUGGAAUGUAACAUCUAUUUAAACUUCAACACGAAACUCAACUCUUCCAUAAACAAGAAAAAUAUCAUUAGUUCUUCGUAAGUACUUUCACCUCAAUUCCAUGACUAUCACUUGGAUAACUUUGGUUAUCAGCUUGUGACACUUGGAGCUAUGCCAAAAAAUGGUAUACAGAGCCUGUCAUCUUUGAGAGCCUUUAUUGUUAGUAGUUGUUUUUGUGAGAAACCUUGAAGAAAAGAAACUGAGGCUAUUGUUUUUAUUGUUGCUACAAAAUGAAUUUUACACCACUACUACCACUUGUUUUUACUGGUGAAAACAACCACAUUUGGGCAAUAAAGAUGAAGACUUAUCUGCAAGCACAUGACUUAUAGAAUGUGGUUGAGAAUGACACAGAACUAGCUCCAUUGAGGGCCAAUCCCACUAUUGCACAAAUUAGACAACAUAGUGAAGAGUGUGCUAAGAAGCACAAAGCUACUAAGAAGCACAAAGCUAUGUCAUGCUUACAAAAUAGAGUGUCUGUUGUGAUCUUCACUCAAAUAAUGGCUUGUGCCACUCUAAAAUAGGCCUAGGAGAAGCUAAAGGAAGAGUUUUGGGGGUCAGACAAGACUAGACAACAACAAUUAAUCAACCUCGGGAAGGACUUUGAGAACUUGAAGAUGAGAGAGUCCGAAACAAUCAUGCAGUACUCUGAUAGGAUAAUGGCCACAGUCAACAACAUCAGGCUCCUUGGAGAUGAAUUCAGUGAGAGUAGAAUAGUUAAAAAGGUCAUUACAACCCUUCCUGAAAAUUUUGAAGCAAAAAUCUCCUCAUUGGAGGAACCGAGAGAUUUAUCAACCAUCUCACUAUUUGAGUUGAUAAAUGCUCUAUAUGAAUUAGGGCAAAGAAGUGCCAAUAGGUUGGAGGAGCAUCCUAAAGGACCUUUCUAAGCAAAAACCAAGGAAAGCUCAGGUUUGAGCUACAAAGGAAAGAAACCAUGGCUUGACAAAAGGGAGAAACCAAAUAAGGAUGCAAGGAAGAAAAGGUUCCCACCACGCAUUCACUGCAAAAGGUCCACACACUUAGAGAGGUACUACUGGUACAGGCUUGAUAUUCAGUAUAGGAGCUGCAAGCAGUUUGGUCACAUUGAAAAGGUUUGCAAGAACAAAGGAAGGGCACAAUCUCAGCAGCAAAAUCAAGGUCAAGCUGCUGAGGAUAUUCAAAAGCUCAGGAGGAGCAUGUUUUCACUACAUCCUGUUUUGCAACCUCAAGCAAAGUUAGAAGAGACUAGUUAGUAGACAGUGCCUGCACUCAUCAUAUGGCAUCUGAUGAAGGGUGAUUCAGAGAUCUUGACAGAUGCUUUGUUUCCAAGCAGAGGCAAUGUUGUUAUCAGCACACAUUCAGGUAACAAAACAAUUUCAGAUGUUCUUUUUGUACUUGACAUAGACCAAAAUCUGCUUAGUGUUGAUCAAUUAAUAUAUAGAAAAGGGUUAUUCACUCAACUUUAAGAACAACUCCUGUGUUAUUAAGGAUUUUCUUGGUCAAUAAUUAGAUACAAUUGCUAUGACUGGAAGAUGCUUUAUGCUGGAUGUGUUGGAAAUGAAGGCCUAUACUAGUCUUGCUGAUAAAGCUAGUUUAUGACAUAAAAGGUUAGGCCAUUUCAAUUAUACAUCACUCGGUUUGCUGCACAAACUCAAUUUGGUUGAAGACAUGUCUAAGAUUGUAACGCAUAUAAACUGCUUGUAAAAUUGUGCAGUCGUAAACGAAGAACAUCCAAGCCAGUUUCUCACUAUUGUUACUAUACUUCUUUAAUUCCUUUGGAUAACAUUUUUCAAGCCAUUGACCUCUGUUUGUUGUACAAGGUUGCUUAUCGACGCCAAUUUUUUUGACGAAAUGUGCUGCUAAUUUGAGGGGAAAUGGAGAGAUUACAUUACGAAUAGCAGAACUGGAUACUGUCGUACUUGAUUAUAAAAAGGUGUCGGCUGGAAUUUAAUUCUCAUCGAGCAGUUUUUUUUUAUAAAAUAACUUGAAAAUUUUUAUUAAUCAUAAAAAUGAUAUUUUUUAUUAGGUAAUAAAUAAUAAAAGUGAUUGAAUUAAAGAGAUUAGUGCCACGACCUAUUUCGCAUCAGUGCGGCAGAAAGUAAUAAAGUAUGCACUAGUCCAAUUGUUUUUAAUUGCUAAUGUUUAGGGAUAAAAUAAUAUUUAAUUAUCGAAAUUUGGUAAUAGUAACGGAGUUGAAAAAUAUAUAUUUUCAUUGAAGUUAAAAUGUAAUUUAAUUAUAUUAAUUUUUAAUUUUACAUUAUUUAAGGGACUAGAUAAAAUUUUUAUUAUUUUGGAAGUCAAUAUGCAAUUUAACAUUUAAAGUUACAACUUUCAAGGAGACUCAAAGCAUAAAUUACCAUUUUAGGGUACCAAGGCCUUGCCUACCCCUUGUCACCACCCCUCAUUGGUAAUUUAUUUUUUUGUCUAAAUUUAUCCUGAAAUUUGAUAGCUUUUCUUAAUUUAGUCCUUGAACGUUGGUCUAUGCUACAUCUUGGAAUUUUAAAAAAAAUUAAAAAUUUCAAAUGAUGACAUGGUUCUUUAAUAGAAUUCAAGUUCAAGAAGUUCAUUGAAUUUCUUGCCUGUUUACUUUUGUUAUUAACCAUUGCUUUGUUCUUCUUUGUUUAAUUUUAGGUCCCAUGAAAAAAAAUGGAUGAGAAAUUUCUAAAAUCAUUAGAAACAAGAAAAUAUGAUCUCAAAUCCAAUGAAGCAUUGAAAGCUCAACCAGUACAGCAGCAACAUUUUGUUCCAUAUGCAACUAGCUUUAGUUCAUUUGUAAUUUGUAUUUAAAGUUAGUAAGAUUAGUUGAUGAUUUGAAUGAUGUCCAAUGUGAUGUAAUAGUUGAUAUGUCAGCUGCAUUUUGUGUGUAAUUUAAGCUUUGUUUUAGUCAAGUUACUAGUGGGAGUAGUUGUGCAUUUCAUGUAACUUAUAUGUUUUUCUUAAUGAAAAAUGUUUAUGAAAUAGUUUUCAGGUUUCAUUUUUGUUCAAUUCUCUUUGCAUCCGUUUCUUGCUUCUUUUCUCCUUUGUUUUCUGUCAAAACACCAACAAAAAUUCACAUGUAUACAAAUUAGGACAACGUAAGUUGUCACUGAACAGCCCUAUUUAAAGAAGAAUAUACCAAAAUAAGACAUACCUAAGACGUGAACACUGACCUGAUCAUGUGAUACAAAGCUCUAAGAUGUUCUGAAUUUAUGAUUUUAUUUUUUUUCUUUCAUUGGGUUUCUUCUCUUCCUUUUACACUAUCAAAAACCCAUAUAUGAUUUUACAAAUACUUUCAGGCUUCUUCGUCUUGCUAAUUUCUGCAGAACAUUACUGGUCUAUCACAGCCCCAAAGGUUCCACCAUUUGAAGCACAAGAAAUUGGCACAUCAUAUAAGUUCUAAAUCUGUCACCAAUAACCGAGAAAACUGAGUAGAUUUACAUUAAUUAUGCUUAACAUUACACUUCAGGCAUACAGACAAAUAAAAGUCAAAUCGAAAUAACACUAAACAUGCUCGGAGUCGGAGGUGAAGAGGCGGUUGAAAGAGCGCGGAUUGAAGAGAAGAGGACUUGCGAGGUGGCGGGUAUUGGGGGCAAUGGAUGAGUGUUUUGAGGUGGGUUUUGAAAGAGCGUUUGAAGGAAAGCAAUAGAAACAUGGUGGAAGAAAGGAAGAGUUCAAAAGGAUGAGCUAAUGGAAGGAAAAUUUUAGGUUUUGUUCUUUCUUUGAGAUCAUUUCAUAGAAUUUAUUAAGAAAGGAAGCAUCGAAGGAAGGAAAGGAGCUUAUUAGCGUUGUUUUCUGGUUUGGAUGUUUGGUUUAUUUUAUUAUUCAGAUUUAAUUUUUUUUAAACAAUGAAACAAGUUAUUUGAACGAUGGGUUUGGAACUAGGUUUGAUUUUUCUUUUUAGAGUCAUAACAUAGGCUUGAUGCAUGAAUACUUUUAAUUAUAAUUGUAUUUGGGCUGUAAUAAUAUUCAACUAAAGCACUCUCAACAAUAAUAACUCUAAAUUUCAACUUAAAAAUAACUUUGAGCUAACCUUGAGCAAUUGCUCCAAUCACAACAUGAAUAACUAAAGCUUCCUCAACCUCAACAAAUGUUAUAGUGUCAAGAUUGAACCAACUGUCUCCUAGUACCCUAUCAUGAUCCCAAUAGGCAACUUUGAUGUUGAACAUCCCACAAAAACAUGAAAAAAAAAGAAUCACAAUUAUAUUUAACUCAUGCAACAAGUUUCACCUUUUUUGGUGAGAAAAAGAUCAAGCUACUAUUAAGGAGUCUUGGGCUUCUAGUUGAAGCCUGUGAAUCAUUAGAAUAAGAAAAUUCAUGUAAUAAUUAUUACCAAAUCACAGCCUUGUCAAAAUUGAGGUUUUUCAAAAACAAAACAAUUAACAAAGAAACCCCAACCUACGCUAAUAGAAAGGUAAAAGAACAAUGUGCUCAAUGGAUUUCACUUCUUCCCCACACCUCGGUCAAUGAGGAUCCACCUCCUUAAACCUUUUGGCAAUGUUUUAUUUAGUAGUAAACACAUUGUUGCAAGAGCUCCUAAGGAGAUUUUUUAUAUUUAGUAUCACAUUAAGCUCCCAUGAAUGAUUCAAACCUUUUUAAGACAAAUCAUUGUUAGCAUUUGAUCCGUUAGGGGCCACAGAUGAGAGAGGUAGAGAAAAGAGCCACUAGUACCCAUAUCAAAUGUUGUAAGAUUUGUCUUUCAAAAAAUGCCACUUAGAUUUAUCUCGCUUAGUAAAGGACGUAUUAAGAAUUUUCUCAAUAACCUUAUGUUCAUUUUGGCUAAAACAUUGUUGUAGUAAAUCGCUCUUCCAAACCCACAAGUCUAGAUCAAUUCAGUCCUUAAACAAAAUAAGGCCUAUCUUAAAGGAGGAAAGGAUGGAAUAUAUUAAAAAAGAUUACAAGUCGAGGACCCAUUGAUCAUGUGAAACCAUAAUGUCCUAGUCACUUUUGAAUUCAAAUUGGUUGCAAGAUUUUUAGUUAAAUUAAUAAUUCAAAUUUUUAACAUGAUCAUGGUAUCUUUCAUGUUUGAUGUACGAUUUUUGAAGACUAAUUCUUUCAGGAUUCGUGAUUAUCACUCUCAAUAAUAUUAUUAUAUUUAAAAUUUAAAUAUAAAUUUUCUUCUUAGGAAUUCAAUAUGCCUUCCCUUCUCAAUUUUUGGUCAUUGUUAAUUGAUCAUUUAGAUAGAAAUGCAUUUGUUUUAAACCUUGGUAAUUAGUUGGGUCUAGCGAACUUUAGGAUCUUAUUCUAUGCUUGUAACUCCCAACACUAAUUCUUAAGAAUUCGAUGAUUGAAAUAUUUAGUUUCAAAAUUACUUCAAUUGUAAUUAUUACUUGAUUGUGGUACAAGAUUUCUGCUACAAUGUUUAGAACUAUUCACAAUUCCUCCUUAACAUUUAAUAGAAGGAUAAAGGUAUUUCAACACGCUUCAACCCACAUCCUUCUAUACUAAUAACAAUGUUGAUACUAACUAAAUAAAAACUCAAUUUAACAACUAUACAGAUUUUUAGGUUAAAUAAAUUUUAAGUACACAUAUUGCUGUUGUAAUGUAAGUAUUGAGGAUAAAUCACUCUUCAUUGUCAGAAAAAUUGACCCAGACUAUUAAAUUGUAUAUACAAACAAAAUUAAAGAGUAUUGGUAAAAUAGGGCAAUUUACCAAUAAAAGCCCAUUUUUUUCAAAAAUUACCGAAAUGGGCCCAUUAUUGCAUUAUUUACCGAAAUGGUCCAUUUUCCCCGAAAUCGCGUCCACGUCAGCACGAUGUCAUGGUACGCGCCAGGAAAUCGCGUCCACGUCAGCGCGCGCGCCCUAAAGAACGUGAUUUGCUACCACAUCAGCAACGCGCGCUGACGUGGACGCGAUUUCCUGGCGCGUACCUUGACAUCGUGCUGACGUGGACGCGAUUUUGGGGUUUUUUCACUUUAGGUUUUUUUGGCUUUUAGGGCUUAAGGUUCAGGCUUUUUAAGGUUUUUAGGUCCGGGACGAAAUAAUUUUGAGUUGACGUUUAUGAUCAAACAGUAUAAAAUCGCUUCAAAUAGGAUGCUAUUUGAGAAAAAUUUGUGAAAUUGCGGCCUCGUGGACGCGCUAUUACUACAGUAGGUCAUGGAUGAAAUAAUUUUUUUUAACGUUUCUGAGCAAAUAGUAUAAAAUCUCUUCUAGAAGGAUGCUAUUUGAGAAGAAUUUGUGAAAUCACGGCCUCAUGGACGCGAUAUUGCUACAGUAGCUCAUGGAUGAAAUAUUUUUUUUUGACGUUUCUGAGCAAAUAGUAUAAAAUCUCUUCUAGCACGAUGCUAUUUGAGAAGAAUUUGUAAAAUCGCGCCCUCGUGGACAUGCUAUUGCUACAGUAGGUCAUAGAUGAAAUAAUUUUUUUGACGUUUCUGAGCAAAUAGUAUAAAAUAUCUUCUAGCAAGAUGCUAUUUGAGAAGAAUUUGUAAAAUCGCGCCCUCGUGGACACGCUUUUGCUACAGUAGGUCAUGGAUGAAAUAAUUUUUUUGACGUUUCUGACCAAAUAGUAUAAAAUCGCUUCUAGCAGGAUGCUAUUUGAAAAGAAUUUGUGAAAAUCGCGCCCUCGUGGACGCGUUUUUGCUAGAGUAGCAUGUUUGGGCUGCGGUUAUAAAUUAGGCAGAAAAUAUUCUCAUAAUGCAUAAGUCACAGCAGAAACAAUUUAGAAUGGCUAAGCAGGUUAGAGUUUCAAAUAUGAGUGAACGUAUUAGUGUUGUUAUUUACUACGAUGGUGAGGUUUGCCACACCGAGAAUGGUUUUUUUUUUGUCGAAGAAUACGGUGCGAUUGGUUUUUAACCAGAACAUAGAUUUGACAGAACUUCGUAAAAGAAUUAGGCAUAAAAUUUUCAGAACGAUGCCAAUGAAAGUUCUGUUUAUCACGUGUCGAUUUUGUUCUUCUGUUGAUCCGGUGAUAUAUGACUCGUUCGACAUAAAAGGUGCUUAUAACUUGGAGGCAAUGGUGCAGACUCAUCUUGCUAGUGGAGCACCUUAUAUGGAGUUAUAUGUACAAUUUACAUCGCCAACUGAUGUACUUGCGACCGAUGUUUGAGAUGUAUACACGACCCCUGGCCGACACUCGGUUAGCGGGUUACAAAAUAUGAAACAGACCAUGUUCGGUAGCGGUAUCAAAUGCACAUCACCUGCAAGGCAUUCUGUCGGUGAAUGGGACAUGUACGUCGGUGGCUCGACUUUGAUGCUGGAAAUAUGUACUGGGGAACGGCAUCAAGUUCUAGUGGGUGGCAAUCUACAUCCAAUUGGGAACGUUAUGAAAUGCCCAGAAGAAGGGAUGACGUACUCCCUAUGACAUCAACCGGUGAGGGGACCUCAUACGCUACAGAUGAUUGUGGGUUAGAAGAUGACUCCGAUGUGGAUUCACCUCGAGAGCCUAGACCGGAUGGUGUAGAAGUUGGCUUAUUUUUUGAACCGGAGACUAUUCCAACAGAACUUGAAGAUGCUGGAAGGAGUACAGAUGAAGAAGAAAAUCCACGAUUCAGAGCAUACUCACCUCCAGCUCACAUGCAUAAUGUCGAUCUGUCUGUAGAUGAUACGUUAGAGUUUUCAGAUCUACCACACUGGUUACGUGAUCGUACAAGUUCAGGGGUAGAUUCCGGUGAAUUUGAAGUUGGUAAUCAGUUUACCAACAAGGAUAGUUUUAUUGGUGCUUUGAAACAACAUAGCAUCAAAAACUGCGUUAACUACCAUGUUGUUAAAUCAAAGUCUGAUAAGUUUGAGGCGUAGUGUGCAGUCCAAGACGGCACAUGUUUAUGGAAAAUCGUUGCCUCAUUAAGGAAAAUGACAAGGUAGUAGGAGAUUAAAAAGUAUAAAGGUCCACAUACAUGUGUUGCAGGUAUAGUAUUGACGGUUUCUGAAUAAUACUUUUAUUAUGGAAUGUUGCAUUAUUUAAUGUACUCGGUUUAUAGGUGUUUCACAAGAUCAUCCCAAGAUGGAUUCAGCUAUGUUAGCUAGCUUGAUACUGCCCACGGUAAAAGCAGAUCCCAAGACUUCAGUGCCGGUGUUAAUUGCCAGUAUCCGUAGCCAAAUGGGGUACACGCCCUCUUACCGCAAGGCUUGGAUAGCUAAGCAAAAGGCGUUGGAGAAGAUGCAUAGUGGGUGGGACACCUCAUAUAAUAAAAUAUGGCAGUGGUGUCAGGUGCUAGAGAGAUACGUCCCAGGUGCCAUAACAGACCUUCAGACGGAACAUGCGUACUACAAUGGUCGAUUGCUACGUGGAUGUCAAGUGUUUAAACGCAUGUUUUGGACCUUUAAGAAAUGUUGAGACGUAUUUCCAUACUGCAAUCCGUUGGUACAAAUUGACGGUACAUUUAUGUUCGGGAGGUAUACUCAUCGGCUAUUGCUUGCAGUACAAGGAUUCCCCAUCGACGCCAACUUUUUUGACGAAAUGUGCUGCUAAUUUGAGCUUGAGCUCCUUGGAUUCAAUGAGGGUGAGAUCAUCGUGGUGGAUUGGGCCGAUUGAGAUCACUUUCGGCUUGAAAUACUUCAUGAAGUCUUCGGUACGGCGAAGGGUUGAUGGGACUUUUCGUAUCAAUGGAUUGGCCGUGAGGUUGGGUUGGCCGCCGUCCAAAGCUUUGUCUAAUGACUGGAGAUUCGCUAAUUCGCCUUUGCUGAGAGGGACGUCCGUGCACCGCAUAUCAAUGUUCACGGAAUCGUUGUUGGUGUUGUUGUUGAUGAUUGUUUGAUCAGUGGAAACUUCUCCGACGGCGCCGCCUCCUUCCUCCGUGGACGACAUUUUCUGGGUGAGCGUUUCGAAUUAAUUAACAAGGUGAUUUUGUGAACUGUUUUUGGCUGAGUGAGUGAUG